UAAACCAAACAAUUCAAUCAAAAAGAGUGCUUGAGCUUAACUUUUUUAUAAGAUAGAGAAUUUAAAGUGUUGGGAUAAACAUCAACUUAAACUUAAUGACUGAGUUACUUACCUUGCCCAGAAGGGUUUCAUUUGUGUGAGGUCCGUAAACAUCGGAAGUGUCGAGAAAAGUGAUGCCAUUGUCAAUGGCAUGGUGGAUCAAGGCGAUCAUGUCGGAUUCGGGCUUCCGGGGCCCGUAGAAGGCGGACAUGCCCAUGCAUCCUAAGCCUUGUGCUGAAACCUCUAGACCUUGCGAACCAAGCUUGAUCCUCUUCACUGCCCCUGCCAUUUCUCUUCUAUUAUUCUUUUAACUUUCUAUUGAGUGAGGUUGCUGUUCUUAAGCGAACAAUUUAUAUUUAUAGUUCUUUUUUUCCAACUCUGCGGGCCUCUCAAAACUCGUAAUGCUAAGGUAAUGGAAUAUGUUGGCAUUUACCUCAUUAACUUUACAAAAUCACACAACAGAGUUGUUAAAUAAAUAGUCGAUACGUCAUAAUAAUAUUUAUUAAUUAUACGAGUAACAUGAUACUCCAAAAAAUAUUCAAAAAUUUUUCCAAGGGAACGAUAGAAAGUUGGCCCAAACUGGCGGCUAAGCGCUGGUCAAACAAGUUAGGAACAUUAUUGCCUUUGAGCGGGCCCCACAAACUCGUAAUAUUAACGUAAUGGAAUAUGUUAGCAUGUAAUUUUUUAAAGAGAAAGAAAGUAAAAUUCCCUCAUUUUCUCUUGUCUUUUUCUCUCGUUUUUCUCUCUCUUAAACAUUGUUCAGACUAAAAAGUCACAAAAGCAAUAAAGACGAGAGUCUUUAGAGAUUUCAGUCCUCUUCCACAUAAUGUCGGGAUUGAUUUUUUUUUUCCCCCCAAGAUAAUGUGAAAAAUUCAAUCCGCUAUGAGACUCAUGUAGAUUUUAAAUUGUGAUUAUAUUGUCAAUAAUGAUGGUCAAAUAUUUAUUUUUUUUAUAUGUAAAUCUUUUUAAAAAAAAAUAAGGAUUGGGUAAAUUUUAAAUUAAUUAUUAAUGUUUUUUAAAAUUCAAAUUUAGUGACUAAUCAAAUAAAAUUAUUUAAAAAUUAUCUAGAUCUUACGGACCCAAUCAAGUGGCUAUAUGGGAUAAAUACAAUUAAAGAGAACUUAUAAUUACUUUUAUAAACAACCAAAAAUAUAUUGAGACCACACUACCACGUAAAAGACUUUUAACGGCCUUUGAAAUAUGCCGUUAUAUGGUUAAGAUGCUGAUGGCAUAAAUUAGCACGCCGUUGAUUCAUAAGUCGGAGAAAGUCAUAUACUUUUAACAACAUUUAUACCUUCCGUUACACUAAACUUUACUACUACUUUGGAAAUGUAGUGUGAAACUGAUCUUCUUCUUCUUCUUUUUUUCUCGUGAAGCGAUAUAUUCUCAAUUAAUUAUUUUUUCCUUACCUUCACAUAUACAUAAUUAUAAAGUACAUACGUUUACAUGACACAUAAUCUCAUUCAUCAUCAAUUAGUUUUACAAAAAAAAAAAAAAAAAGAAUUACACAAUGAAUUCUGAAUAAACAAUUUCGCAAUGCUUUUUAUUUUAACUUGUAUGAGUCAAUACAGGAAAAAAGAUACUGAUAAAGUUAUAUUACAUUUGAUAAAAUAAUAUUUACAAAGACUUGAAGUUCAUUAUCCUAGAAAUAUAUAUUACUGUUUAAUGACAGUUCACCAUCCCAGACUUGGAGUUCCUUUUCCUCUAAAAAUGAUUAAUUCUUUUCUUUUCAAAGACCAGCAAUAACAUUAAAUAAAACCUUUACAUACUAAAAAAUAUAAUUAGACUAAUACAUGAUAAUAAUAUUACCUUCAACUGAAAAUUUUUGUAAAAACUAGUACCUAUUCUAUAAGUACAUAUUGUAAAAUUGUACCUUUUUCGAGAUUUCAUUUCAUCCAUUAAUUCGCAGUGGGUACUUGACGACACCAGUCCCUCAAUUAUUCUUUUUUUUUUUUAUUGUUCUUUAGCCACAUAUGUACUAUAUGAUAAUAGAAAACAGAAAAAAUUGUAAAACUAAAAUGCUGAAAAAACCAAUUAGACAUAAUAUUCUUAAUGGUAAAACAAUAAAAAUACAAGGUUUAACAAAAAAUAAAAUAAAAAAAUUAAAUUGAUUGAUUUACCUUCUGCGCUCUUCGUCAAAGUAGACUAAAAACAAAUUAACUACCUAUUGUGGCUCUCAAAUUAAAGGAUUUUGGAGGAUAGGUGCCAUGAGGAUUUGAUAAAUAAGUUUAAAGCAAAUUGAUGAUUGAUAAAACAAAAAUAUGUUAUUGAUUGAAGUAGAAAGCAUAUUAGGGUAGAGAGAAAGAAGCCCGAGUCUGACAAAAGGAAACCAUGAGAAUUGAAAAGGGAAGAUGAGAUUUUUUAGGCAUGGGUGAAAUAGAAAAAGUAAGGAAUUUCCCAUUGUUACAGAUUAACCUGCAAAGAGAGAGAUCUCAUCUAAUUGGGGGUAAACACAUAAAAUUAUUUAAUUUCCUAGCUUUUAGGAUUUUGAUUUAAUGGCAUAUGAAACAUGCCAUAUAAAAUGUAAUAUUAAUGGCAUGUAAAUUAUGCUUUCAAAAGUAUCACAGCAAUUCAAAAUUUACGCCAUUAUUUAACAAUAAAAUAAAGUUAUCUAUGACAUGUUUUUACCAUAUGCCAUGUUAUUAUCUCUUAUCCUGAUGAUAUUUUACAAUGCCUUUGACCAUUUACAACAGUAAAUAAUUAUAUUGUGCAGUAGAUAUCGUGCCAUAGAAAGCCAAUUUUGUUGUAGUGCCAACUUAAAAGUCUUAUAAUGGAAAAAAGUGAAAUUCAAAACUAGCAUCCUCUAAACUAUCGGGAACACCUGUCACAGUUGUUGAUCUAUAAGCCCCUCUUAAAAACAUACAAUAUUCUCUCAUGACGUGGCUGGCACAAAAGCCAAAUCAAGGGCUGCGCCGGCUUUACCUGCACCACAAGCAAAGGCCCACGAUUUUGCAUCACUCUUUACAGCAUCUAAUAUAGGGAGCUGGCUACGGUACAUUGUCUGUUACGUACACACCCAAUGGUGGAAGGACACACAUGCACAGGAGAGAGAAAUUGCUUACCAAAUGCACCCUUUGUGAAAGCUGGCUAAGGUGCAGCUGUUAGGUACACCGUCUGUACCUUAGCCAUCUCCCUAAUAUAGAUGUAACCUGGACAUUUAAAUUAGGAAUUUAGUUUAAAAAAAUUAAUUAAAUUUGGGGUACUUAUUUUUUCUAAUGUUUAUAAUGAGGUCUAAUAUUUAAAAUAAAUAAUUCAUUGCCAUUAUUUUUAAAAUUUAAGAAAAAAUAAUAGAAUUUGAGUUUUUAAAAAUUAAAUAUCUAAAGAAACAAAAUUUUAUGGCUAUUGGGAUUUUAACCGAGCCUCCAAAACCAUUAAAAAGCGGGUCCAGCUAUGUUACCCACGGUGUUUAGUACCCAAUUUUUUUGUCUUUUUCAAAUUCACCGUUAGAUUUCACCCAGGAGUUGUAUAACGGCUUAGAUGUAUUUAUGGGGUUAUUAACAUUAAAUACCACUGUUGUUUAUGAAAAAUAAUAAAAUUCAAAAGUUUUACAAUUUUGACAUGUAAGUCCAUAAUAUUUUGAAUUUUUUUAGACUAUUGAAAUAGGUUUCAUUAAAUGACUUAUUCAUACAUUUAUUAAUACAUAUUUAUAUUAGUAAUUAAUUUAUCAAUUAAUAAAUAAAUAAAUUAAAUAUAUAGCUAAACAUUGUAUAUUAUUUACUACCCAUAAUUGACGAUAAAUAUAUAUGAUUUUUUUUUUUUAAAUUUAACAUAAUGGCAACCAAUUUCCUUUCACCCAUGUGAGUAGGGUUAAGACAUUAUAACUUUUUUUUUUCUCUAACACAAGAGAUUUUACUAUUUCAAAUUAGAUGAAAUGGAGAAAAUAUGAAAAUGAAUUUAAUUUCAUAUUAUAUAUAAUUAAUGUUUUAUUAUUUCCUUGUAACAUAAAAUUUAUUUAACAUACUAUCAAUUAUUCGAUUAUGUAGAAAAAAUAUAUUAAUUUACUAAUAAAUAAAUAAUAAAGUGUUAGUUUAUCAAUUCAUAAAAUCAUUUUUGUUCAUUUGAAUAAGGAUUUUGUAUUUUUGAUUGAGUUUUUGUCAUUAAAUAAAAAGAAAAAAUUUAAUUGCACACUUAAAUAAAUUGACUUUUGUUAUUCCACCCCAACAUUUUAAAUAGUUAUCAGCACACAUCCAUACGGUUAUGAUAUUUCAUUACCUUAAUUAAAGAAGGUAAAAAAAAAAUCUAAACAAUACUCCCUUUUAAAAUAAUUUGAAUAUUUCUUUGUUAAUUUUUUUGUAGUUAAAAAUAAGAGUAACAAUUUUAUUUUAUUAUUUUGUUUCCAUAUUGAAAAUAAUUUUAAUUACCUUUUAAUAUUAAUCAUUUUAGGAAAUUAAAUAAAAAAUAAGAAUUUUUUAUGUAAAACAAUUAAUUAGUUUUUCAUAUUAUAAAAUGUAUAGUGAUUUAUAAUAAAAAUUAAAUAUCCAUGUUUACCCAUGGAUGUUUAUAUUUAUAUUGGAUAAUUAUGUAUUUACAUAUGGAUGGCUAAUAACUAUAGCUAUCUGGAUUUUGUCAUCCCUAAUUGACAAGGAUAUGACCAAUUAAAUAAUUCUACCAAACUAUAUAUAUAAUUGUCGGAUUAAUGGCUAAGUGCUGGAAAACACUACCAUGGCCGUGACCAAUUUUUUAUUUUUUAGUUUGGUAGUGAAAUGGAUUUCUUCCCCACUCCCCCCCCCCCCCCCCCCACCCCCCUCCUCAAUUCUAGCAAACUAAGCAUUCUCUUCUCAACAUAUAUUGCAAUAUAAAAAAAAAAAUUCAAAUUGACAAGUCUAUGAUGUCGGAGUACUCUGUUCAUGUCUGUAUCUUCAAAAGGUGCUUCUAAAAUAGAUUGUGGCUUCCAGAAGCAUUAUUGUAACUGAAAAUUUUUAGGUGCAUGACUAAUGUGUGAAAAUAUAAAAGUCUUUAACUUUUCGGUUUUUUUAACAAAUAAAUGGACUCUACUAUAAUUGAACUAGAAAAGGACAAAAAAGUGGGGUACGAAACCCAUGUGGCAACGUAGUUUUGGCCUUAAAAAGCACAUUUACUAAAUUUUAAGUAUUUUGUUACAUAAAAAAUAUGUCCAAAUUCUUUUUUUUUUUUUUUAAAGGGACUUAAGAUACAUUUAAAAGAAAAAUAUGAGCCCAAAAGGGGUUGAAGCUCCUCCUGUCCCUUAACUAGAUGUGCAUCACUCGUUUUCGAAAAUUUUGAUUUGAAAAAAAAAAAUACUUUUUUUAGCAAAGUUUAAUACAUUUUAUUAUCUCUUUCGAACUAUUUGGCUAUGGCAACUAAUGAGGAAAAAUUUGUCUUCUAAAAUUCUAUUAUCUUAGAACCAAGGUUUAAGGUCAUGUUUGGUAUCGAAGUGCUAUAACUUUUGAUCUACAGCUCCUAUAAAAAAAUUAUAAUUAUAAAUUUAAGUUAAUAAUAUAUAAUAAAUGUAAUUUUUAAAUAAUAAUUUUGAUAAAAUUUGUAAAGAUAUAAUAGAUUUUUCAUCAUGCAAGUGUAAAAUGAAAUGGACUUAGGUGGCGUUUGUUUUUUAACUUAAUGACUUAAAGUGACUUAACUUAAUUAAUUAAGUUAAUUAGAGGUGUUUGUUUUUAUAACUUAAUGAGACUUUUUAGAUAAUUUUGACUUAAUAAAAUAAGCUAAUUUUUUUGGCUUUUUACUUAAUGGAGAAAUCUGAAUUAAGUCAAUUACUUGCUAAUGUCAAAAAUAUCCCUGUUUUAUAAUUUAUUUUUCAUGUCUAUCCCAAAACUCACCCAUAUAUAUUUACCCCACAUAAAAAUAUCUCUGUUUUUUCUUUCUUAUAUUAUAUACGAUAAAAUUUGAAAUUUAUGGUAUUUUAUAUAUUAAAAAAUCAAAAUAAUUAUGUAUUCACUUGAAUAUAGUUUUACUUAUAAAUGUUAAAAUAUUGUGGUAUUUAAUAUAUUAUUUAUUUGACAUUCAAAUUUAAUAAGGAUACAAAUGUAAAAGUACAUAUUUUUAGCUUUUUAAGUUGAAAAAAACAAACAACUUAAUACUUAUUUUUCAAGAUUCAGACGAAAAAACAAACAUAUUAUUCAGAUUCAGACAUUCAGACCUAUUCAGAAUUCAGACUAAUUCAGAUCUAUUCAGAUUUCAGACAAAAAAACAAACGCCACCUUAGGUGGGGUUUGUUUUUUAACUUAAUGACUUAAAGUGACUUAACUUAAUUAAUUAAGUUAAUUAGAAGUGUUUGUUUUUAUAACUUAAUGAGACUUUUUAGAUAAUUUUGACUUAAUAAAAUAAGCUAAUUUUUUUGGUUUUUUACUUAAUGGAGAAAUCUGAAUUAAGUCAAUUACUUGCUAAUGUCAAAAAUAUCCUUGUUUUAUAAUUUAUUUUUCAUGUCUAUCCCAAAACUCACCUAUAGAUAUUUACCCCAUAUAAAAAUAUCCAUGUUUUUUCUUUCUUAUAUUAUAUAUGAUAAAAUUUGAAAUUUAUGGUAUUUUAUAUAUUAAAAUUCCAAAAUAAUUAUGUAUUCACUUGAAUAGAGUUUUACUUAUAAAUGUUAAAAUAUUGUGGUAUUUAAUAUAUUAUUUAUUUGACAUUCAAAUUUAAUAAGGAUACAAAUGUAAAAGUACAUAUUUUCAACUUUUUAAGUUGAAAAAAAAAAACAACUUAAUACUUAUUUUUCGAGAUUCAGACGAAAAAAUAAACAUAUUAUUCAGAUUCAGACAUUCAGACAUAUUCAGAAUUCAGACUAAUUCAGGUCUAUUCAGAUUUCAGAUAAAAAAACAAACGUCACCUUAGUUUUCAAGUUAUAGUAGUUAGUGUUUACCAAACACUUUAGCACUAUAACUUUUAAGUUACACAUGUCCAACUUUAAUCACAAAUAGGAUAUAAGUAUGGAAAUUGCUUGGUGAAUCAUCUUUAUAAGUAUUUGAGUGAGACAUUCUGGAGAUUGAUUUUUUUUCUAAAUAUUUGAAUAUUAAUCUAAUUUGCAAUAGACUUUUGGUUGUGAUUAUAUUGUCAAAGGGUGGGUAAAAUCUAAAUUAAUUUUUUAUCUUCCAAUCUUUGUAUCAAACUCUAAUGAUCAGUCAAAUAAAAUUACUUAAAAACUACCUCAAUCCUUAGGGUGGGCAAUCAAAUGGUUACAUGUAAUGCCCAAGAUUGUAGAGAACUUAUGAUAACUUUUGUAAACAACCAAACUAUAUUAAGACUAACUUGAAAAUCUAUUACACCCUAGUAAAUACUCUAGAAAUCUACUUCAUAUUGUCGAGAAAAUGAAUAAAAAAUGUCAUGGAAUUCAAACUAGUGCCCUCAAUAUUAUUGUGACCAUUGAUUUAUUAGUCCACUGGCUAUUAUUAUUAUUAUUAAAUGGUGCAUUUGAUAUUAUUUUUGUUUUUCCAUUUCUCGUUUUCCAAAAUUUUGUUUGGGACACUUAUUUUUAAAUAGUAUUUAAUUUCAUAUAAGAACGAUUUGGUCUCAUUCUUUAACUUUAGAGAAGAAAAUUGGAGAACAAGGCAUUCAUGAUUUUCAUUCUUCAAAUAGGUCGUACAAAUACCACUUGGAAAAAAAUAAAAAUAAAAAUCGUGCCCCUUAUCAUGUGGGCACAUUACCAAUAUUUAUUUGAUAAUGCAAUUCUAAUUACCUGUUUAAUACUUUUUAAUUAAUGUUUCUUUUUUCUACAAUAGUAAUUGUAUUAUUUUAAUAAUUUUAAAGGUUCUCUAUAAGUAAGAUUUAUUUAUUUUUAUUUUUCAUUCUAAUAUUAAUGAUAAUCCCUAAAAAAUUAUUUUAUCUAAUUUUCCUAUAAAUAAAAUUUUAAAUAAUAAAAAAUAAUUGAAAUUUCAAAUAAUAAAAAGAUUAAUUGAAAUAUAUUAUGAUUAAAAAUAUUUUAAUUCAUUUAAAGAUAUAAUAGCAUAUUUUUUUCUCGCUCUCUUUCAUUGUCUUCAUUUUUUCAAACAAAUAAUUCAACAUAUUCUCAAAUUUUCAUUUUAUAAAUACAAUUUUAGAAAGAAUCUAUCAAACAAAUUUUUAUUUUCACUAAAAACUAAUUAUUUAUCAUUUAUCAAAAAAAUUAUAAAAAUUUCAAUUGAAAAACAAUACCACAUGCACCAUAAUUCUCUAAUAAAAAGUACACAAUUUUAUCUCAUUCAAUUUGAUGACGUGGCUGGCACAAAAGCCAAAUCAAAGGCUGCGCGGGCUUCACAUGGGCCUUUGCCUAGGUCCUACCCACCAAAGGCAAAGGCCCACGAUUUUGUAUCACCCUUUAAUCCUUGAGUUGGAUUAUUGACACUCCUCUAAAAUUCUUUUAAAACCCUUUUUUUAAUUAUACUAAACCUAAUGCCAAAAUUACCCUUACUUCUAAAUAAACACAUUUAAUUUGUGAAUCUGUUAAUUUUUUAUUUUUUUUCUCGCUCCUCACAAAAAAAAAAUUUCGGUGGUAAACUUCUUGAUAAAAAUCAAUGAAUCAAAUAAAUUAUCUUUAAGAUUAUGAUGUAAAAAGUUUUAGUACAAACCUAAAAAAAAAGUCAAAUAAUUUUAUCAGAAUGUGUUUUAUUUAUUACUAAUAAAUUGUCUUAUUAAUUGAAGAAAAAUUUAUAGAGAAUUUGAGAAAAAAAAUUACAUGUGUGAGUGUGAUAGCAGAGAAAGUACAAGAGUUUUUUCUUUUUUAAAGAGAGAAAAAAUAAAAGUUUGAAAUGAGAUAAAAUAGAUGUGAGACAUAUUAGAAUAUUUUUCCUAAAAUGUAAUUAUAAUAGAAUAGGGGUUUCAAAAGAAUUAUGGAGGGGUGCCAAUAGUCUAAUUCUUAAUCCUUUUAUAGCACCUGCUGUGGAUGUAAAUGGACUAUGAUUCCCUUUUCACUAUUUUGAUUUUUCAAAAUACAUUUUUUUUGUUAAGUUUAAUACAUUUUAUUAUCUCCUUCAAAAUAUUUAGCUAUGGCAAUUGGUAAGGGAAAAUUGUCUUCUAAACAAUUUAUUACCUGAAGACUAUGGUCAAGUAUUGGAACCUAUCAAUAGUAUUGUGGUGAAUCAUCUUUUAGGGAUUUUGGUCAUCUUAUAAACAUUGUAGAGAUUGAUUUUUUUUUUCCGAAAUAUGUGAAAAUAAAUCCAACGCUAUGAGGUUCUUGUAAACUAUUAAUUUCAAAUCAAUAAAAUAUUAACAAUAAUAGAUUAAGUUCAAUCUACCACAAUCGAGUAUAAAGUUGUACCAUGCAUGUAUCAUAAAUCAAGACUGCUCUCAUACAAUUAUUGGUAAAUUAGGCCUAAAAAAGAUUUUUUUAUCUAAUAAAAUUAUCAGAAGUCAAGAUUGUUUUCUUGAUUAUGUAUACAUGCAUAGGAUUAGAGAAGUACCUUAAUUUUCUACUGAAGAUCUGAAGAAGACUACUUCAAUUUUUUCCACUAGUAUUAUUGGGAUCUGUAGAUUAUGGUUGCAAUUUUCUCUAUUAUCCUCAAUAGUCUCCUCCGCACGUGUGGGCAUAUAGAGAACUCUAAUUUCCAUUUUCUUUUCUUUAUAUUGGCACUUACUAGAGUUAGAGUUUAACUAUAAACUAAGUUAGCAAAAGAUAUCCAUGAACUUCCUAGCUCUAACUUCAUAGUUAAGGCUCAGUCAUAUCAUAACACACCAAAACAGCUAAGUUAACCUUAGGCUACUCUACUAAAAGUCCAAAGUUGCUCUCUAGGGAACCAUGUAACAAAUAAAAGCUUAAUUAAUUAAGACUCCUUUUAAAUAAUAUUAGGCAUGAUCUCAAACCAAUAAUUACCACUUAAUUGACUCUUUAUUUGAUAACCAUAAUUAAAGCUAGCCUAUGAUAAAUUAUGUGCCUUUGUAAUUACAUAUAUAUCCCUAAGUCACUAUUUAUUCUAACUAUCACUUUUAACAUAGGGAAAUUAUCAAAAAUACUGCAACACUUUAAAGGUGUAUCAAUCGUCCAUCCUAAAUUAACAAAAGUUAUCAACCGUUUGAAAGUUAACGGAAUUAUAGCGAAUUGACGAUUUUACCCUAGAAAAUUAUCACUUGUAUACCCUUAAAAUUUCUUAUUAUCACUUAUAUACUCUUAAAUUAUUACUUGUAUUAUAUGAAAAGACCAGAUUACCCUUUGACGUCAUCAUAUUUAAAUGGUGAUUAAUAAUUUGGUGGACGGCAUAUACAUUUUGUCAACUUAUGGUGGACGACUGAUAUAUCCUAAAAGUAUUAUAGUAAAUUUGAUAAUGAAGUAAACUAAGGGUAUACGAUUGAUAAUUUUCCUUUAAUAUAUUUGUAAAUAGAUUAGAAAUAAAUGUUAUUAUUUAAUAAACAAUUUAUUGAAUAAAAUUGACCAUAGAUUUAAAUGAUUAAUAUAGGGAUGACAAAAUGCGACCUUGGGUCGAGCCUUUUAAACCUAGGCCCAAGUCCAUUAGAGGAAAAGUAUAAGGGCUAGGCUUAGCUAGGCUGGGCUUGGACUUUUAUUUAUUUUUUUUUCAAAUUUUUUAAAAUUGUUGUAAACUUGAAAUGAGUUAAUAGUCAGCAAAUUGUUAUAAUCAACAAUAAAUUAAAAAAAUAAAUAGUUUAAAAUAAAAUAAUAAAUAAAGCAAAUGAAAGUUUAGAGAUUUAAUGUUUUAGCACUAGAUUUUCGAAUUCAAACACACUCUUAAUUAAUUAAAACUUAAAAGAAAGUUUAAUAUUAUAAUUUUAGGUUUUUUAAUUCAUUAUUGAUAUAUAAAUUAAGGAUUUAAGCUUUCUUUCUUUAUUUUUUUAAAUUUUAAUUUUAUUAUAAUUUAUAAUUUAUUUUUUCAAAAAAUAGAGGGCUUGCAUCUGGCCCAAACUUUUUUCCCUUAAGCUCUUGCCAAGCCAUUCAUGUGGAGGCCAAGGACAAAACCCAUGGGAAUGGGCCGGGCCAACUCAGGCUUGGGUUGGCCCAACUUUUUUUGCCAUCACUAUGAUCAAAUACCACAAAUAGCUUAGUUAAGUAUUAUUUGUAUAGAUUCCAUCUUGUAAAUACAUAUAUAUCUAUGAUUCAUGAAAUUACAUCUCAAAACUAUCGAUGUUUUGACCGUUUAUAUAAAUCUUACUUCAUGAUAACUCAAAAAACAUAAUACAUGAAUGUGCAGCAAGUGCCUUUAGCCUCUAUUAGGGCUGUAUUGCACACUCAGGAUUAAGGUCGAUCAAGUUUAUUAAAGCUUGUGUAAAUUAUGAUCAGCAAUAUAUGUUAAACCAUAUCAUAAUUCACUACAAUCAUGUUCAUUACAUAUAUAUCUCAUAUACAUAGUAACUUUUUUAUUUGAAGUCUCUACUUUAGUAAUCAAGAUAAAGUUACUUAACGAUAAAAAUACAAAAGAUACAACCUUAUAAAAUAAAAUGUCAUUUCAUUAAUAGAUGUGAAUAAUCUUUUAUUUAUAAAGAAUUUGUGAUUUUUAUCUUCUAUUUUGACAUCAUAUGCUCAAUGCAUGAAUCACAUACAUUAUAAAUAAGGGCUAAUAAUAUAUGCUCAAAGAAAUAUUGAAUAAAUAAAUUCUAAUAAACUCAAAAACUGUUAUUUUAUUGCAUGCUUUUAGGAUACAAAAUAAUAAUAAGUAUAACAGUAAUUAUAUUGUCAAUAAUGAUAGUCAAAUACUUAUAAUUUUUUUUUCUUGUGUUUUUUUUUUAAGGGUAAAGAGUAGUAAACCCAAUUCAGUUUUUUCGCUUCUAAUCUUCCAGGAUUCGAACCUUAAUAGCCCCAAAAAAAAAAAGAAAAAAACCUACAUGGAAAUCAGCUAGGCCCCUGGGGGCGGCCAAUCAAAUGCUUACACGCACUAAGCAAAAUUAAAAAGAACUUAUGAUUACUUUUGUAAACAACCAAAAAUAUAUUGAAACUGUUUAAAAAUCUACUACGUCCUAGUAAAUACUCCAGAAUCUACUCUAUAUUGUUGAGGAAAAUGAUUAAAAAAAACCAUGGAAUUCAAAUUAUUGUGCUUAGUAUUAAUGGAAACACUGCUAUUAUUAUUAGUUCUAGAAUAUAAUUCUCUACUGAAAAAUACAAUGUUAUCUCAUUCAGUAUUGAUGUGGCUUAGUGGCUGGCACAAAAGCAAAAUCAAAGGCUACACCAGCUUCACCAAGGCCUUUGCCCAGGUCCUACGACCACAAAGCAAAGUAGGGAUGGCAAUUAUAUUCGGAUCCGACCCGGAUCCGAAAAAAUUCGGAUCUGCAUAUAAAAAAAAUGUUGAUCUAGAUAUGAAAAUUUGGGAUAUGCACUAAUCCAGAUUCGGAUGCAAGUGCAUUCGAAAAACCGAAUAUCUGGAUUCGGAUAAAUUUUAUUUUCAAUUAAAAAUACAUAUUAAAAAUUAGAUGAAAAAUUAAAAAAUAAAUUUAUUUGUAGAUUUAUGAUGUUGUUGUAUAUUAUUCCCGUUGAAUUAUUAAUUGUUGAUUAUGAUUACAUUUUAUUUGAUAUUAUUAGGUAGAUUAUUGAAUUUUAUUUUAAAUUAAAAUUGAAUUAAAAAUACAUAUUAAAAAUUAAAUUAAAAAUUAAAAAUUAAAUUUUAUUUGUAGAUUUAUGAGAUUAUUGUAUGUUAUUCAUAUUGAAUUAUUAAUUGUUGAAUUAUGAUUGGGUUUUAUUUUAUAUUAUUAGGUAAAUUAUUGAAUUUUUAAAUUAUAUAUUAAAUUAUUGAAUUUUAAUUUUUAUGGAUCCGAAUAUCCGGAAUAUCCACCCUCAUCCAUUGCGGAUAUUACCCGCAUCCGAAUCCGCAUUUUUUUUGCAGAUCCGGAUGCAGAUGUAGAAAUAUAAUUACGGAUCCGGAUGCACCUACAUCCGGAUCCGAAUAUGCAUUUUACCGACCCUAAAGUAAAGGCCCGUAAUAAUUUGUUUAUACUAUGUUGUUAUUAGGUGGUGAAUGGUGAUAUUUUUUAUUUCUUAAAAUACCCUCAGUUUAACUAGAAACUAGGUUUGCUCAUUGUCGCAUGAGCAAGAGAAAAUUCAUAAUUGAGAAAAAAUUAUCAGUUGAUUCAAGAGGAGUUUUUAUGAACAAUAAACUUUUGGCCAAAUAAUCCAAAUCUUAAAAAAAUUUGAUGGAAUGCAAAGUGUAGAUGAGGAGAAAAAAUUCAAUAAAAGACUAAAGAUAAAAAAAAACACAAGUAUUAUAACACCGAAUAAAUUAUAUUGAGUUUGAAGAUGUGAAACAUCAGUAUAAUUUUUUUCAACUUAUCAUAUGUCUAUAAUUGUAAUUUAUGUUAUGGAUAUUUUAGUAAUAAUUAAUUUUAUUAAAAUGUGAGUUUAAUGAGUAACCUAGCGGGUUUAAAUAGCCUCGCUCUUUAAAGGGUGUCAAAAGACUACUCUUUGUAUAAUAUAAUAUACUCCACUAAUGAUGCGUUUACUUCAUGGAAUGCGAAUGAGGUGGAAUAGGAAUGGGCUGGAAUGAGAAUGAGGAAUGUGAAUGAGAUUUCAAUGUUUACUUGGCAAAAAUAAAUGAGAAUGAGAAUGUGCGAGAAUACUAUUGAUGUGUUUACUUGGCAAAAUAAAUGGGAAUGAGGAAUGAGAAUGAGAAUGAGAAUCAAUUUACCAAAAUACCUAUAGUAUUAAUAAUAAUAAUAUUAUUAUUAUUAUUAAAUUUUAUUAACGUUAUUAUUUUAGUUAUUAUUAAUCAUUGUUAAUAUUAUUUUUAUUAAUAUUAUCAUUAUUAACAUUUAUUAUUAUUAUUAAAUUUUAUUAACUUUAUUAUUUUAGUUAUUAUUUAUUACUGUUAAUAUUAUUUUUAUUAAUAUUAUCAUUAUUAACAUUUAUUAUUAUUAUUAUUAAAUUUAUUAUUUUAGUUACUAUUAAUUAUUGUUAUUAUUUUUAUUAAUAUUAUCAUUAUUAACAUUUAUUAUUAUAUUUUUAAUUAAUAUCAUUUUUAUAUCUAGAUAAUGAAAAUUACAUCAUCAUUAUUAUUAUUAUUAUUAAAUUUUAUUAACUUUAUUAUUUUAGUUAUUAUUAAUUAUUGUUAUUUUUAUUUUUAUUAAUAAUAAUAAUAAUAACAACAAUAAUGAUAAUAUUGUUAAUAAUGAUAAAUUAAUUAUUUUUAUCAUUAUUUUUAUUGUUAAUAAUGAUAAUAUUAAUAAAAUAAUAAUAAUAACUAAAAUAAUAAAGUUAAUAAAAUUUAAUAAUAAUAAUAAUAAUAAUUAUUAUUAUUAAUGGCAUUUAAAAUAAUAAAAUUAAUUGUGAUUUGAAUGAGGGUAAUUUGGGAAAUAUGAAAAAAUUAGAGGGAUAGAAAAUUAAACAUAUAUUUCAUUCACAUUCCCUCAUUUUCAUUCCCAACCCUCCAUGGGAAUGAGAUUCUCAUUCCUUAUUCCCAAAUUGUGUGAGAUCCACACAUUUUAUUUCCAUUUCCAAAUAACAUUUUGCCAAGUAAACAUGGGUUUCAUUCUCAUUCCUCAUUCCAUGAAGUAAACACACCAUAAGUAAUAAAAAUUAACCUUGUAGUAUUUUCUGAAUUAUUUUAGUGUUCAAUAUCUCCAAUCAUGAUAUUUUUGAAUGUAAUAUACAAAAUGUUUAUAAUGUGAAAAAGAAGUCAAGGUUUAUGUAUGGAUGUAAAUAGGGUAGCAAAAUGAAUUCGCGAAUCAAAUUUGUGACUAGGUAUAAAUGAAUUAGGUUAAAAGUUGGUAAAUUCAAAUUCAAUUCAUUUAUUAAACGAACUCUAAUCUUGAGUUGAAAUCAAUCUUUUUUAAGGAAUCAUUAACAAAUAUUCAUUGAAUUUUUCGUUUAACAAAAUUAAUAAAUAAAUUGAGUUAAAUUUAGAAUGGUUUAAAUUCAUUCAUCUACGAUUAUAAAUUUGUAAUAUUUUAUAUCAAAUGAUUAUUGAUAACCAUCAAAAGUCAAGCAAAACAAAUUAUCUUGACCAUCCUAAGUCACAAAAUGAUGAUAGAAAUGGAAGGUGUGAAAUGCCUUAAAGGUAAUAGGAAAUGUUAAAAAUACUCGAUCGGAUUGGACUAGGCAAUACGGGCUAGUAAUAUCCGGCCCAUAAAUGAGGCUGGGCUGGGUUUAAAUUUCAGUUUAUAAGCCUGAAAUUUGUCCCGGAACCUAGAUUUAAAAAAAUAUAUAUAAUAUAUAUUAUUUUAAAUAAUUAUAUUUAUUUGACCUAAAAAUUAUAUAUAUUUAAGAUUUUGAAUAGUUAAAGUUCAUAUUUGGAAGCCCAAAUUCAUUACAAUAAAAUUCAAAAAUCAUAAAAUAAAAAAAAUAAAUUAAAAAUAUACAUAUAUAAUAUUAUAAAAUAUAAAAUUCGGAUUUUUUAAGUCCAUAUAAAAAAAUCCGAUUUGGUAUCGAGUUUUUAAGUCCGGCCUGAUUGUUCAAAACACAUGUUUGGGCCAGAUUUGAGCAUUGUCAUACCCGGGACCAGCAUGAGCUUUUUCCAUCCGUAAGCAUAAUUAAUUGGUUGAAAUAAUUUAAUUUUCGGUAAUGUGAUGUGAAAAAUUGUGAAAAAUUUUGGUAAUCUCGUAGAGGCCACUUUGUAACACAGCAAAAUAUUCGAUUGAUCUGAAAUUAUUGAAUAAUUUUCUGUUGAGGAGGGAUGUCAAUUGUAACAAGAUGAAACAUAUAAUGCUAUAAUAAAUUCAGACCGGUGGCGAGGCUACGUGUGGGAUGGGAAAUUUACAAUACAAAGUUUACAAAAUUGCCACUAUUUUAUUUACAAUUGUACCACUUUAUUAAUUUAUAACUUUGUCAUUCAUAUAAAUAAAUAGAAAAAAGGAGCAUUUACUUCAUUCAAGAUUCCAUAACGUGCUUUCUUUCUUAGCUUCUUCAGUUCUUCAUCUCAUGCUUGAUAAGAAUAGAUAAUAAAUUUAUUUCUUAUUAAUAAGAUGGAGAAGGAAUUUCUAUCAAAUUGUAUUGUUAUCUACAUUUAAAGAGAAUUUAUAAACACUAUCAAUUUAAAUUCGAUAAUAGACGAGUUUAAUUCUCAAAAGUAUGGUAAGACACAACUUAAUAAUGUUUAAUUAUAACUAAAUUACUUGUUAGAUAUAAUGUAUUUGCUUAUGUAUUAACAAAAGUGUCUUUAAUAUUUAUAUUUUUAACCGAGAUAAUAUUCGGAUUUGGAAAAAAUUUAGCCCACUCAAGAAAUUUUUCCUGGGUUCACCCCGGAUUCAGAUCAUCUAAACUUCCAAAAAUUUCAGGAAAAUAUUACUCCAUUUUGAUUUAUUUAUUGUUUCUCAUAUAUUUGUAUAAACACAGUACAUUAUUUUGCCGCUCAAAGCAGAAGAGCAGAAGAUACAAUGAUUUAGUUUUGCUCACAACACUACAUAGGAACUCAAUACAAUAUUCACUAAACACUUGUGAAAAGUGCAGAAAGGUACUAAUAGGGUGUCCUAUCAGAAGACACGGUGACUUUAUCUUUACUCACAAUACAGUAAUUUUACCCACAACAAAACCUAGGAACUAAAUGCAAUUGCAAAAUCGGUACUAAGAAGGCAGACUACCAAUGCCCUUUAUGAAGGUUUCCAUGAAGACAGUGGAAUCUUCAUAGGUAGGAGUGACACCCCCAUAUCGAUGACCCCUUACAGCAUCUGCUGAAGCAAUGGAUUUAAGCUCAGCAAUUUCUUCCGGAGUUAGUUUCACUGACAGAGCUUUAAUAUUUUGAUUCAGGUUUUCAAUCUUGGUGGUAUAUUUUGAUUCAGGUUUUCAAUCUUGGUGGUUCCAGGAAUUGGACACACAUCAUCUCCUUGGUGAUGAACCCAUGCUAAUGCAAGCUGAGAUGGGGUGCAUCCUUUCUUUACAGCUAUUUCAUUAACACGUUCAAAUAGCUUUUUGUUAUGCUCUAAAUUUUCAGGUUGGAACCUAGGUAGAAGCUGCAAGAUUUAGAAAACAGCUCAGUACCAAAAGUGAACUGUAAUUGAAUCAUUAAAAAAGAACAUCAUUUUGGAUAAAGCAUGAUUUUAGAGGAGGUUUAAGUAAAAUUCAAUAGACCAGAAAAUAAGGAAAAAGGACUAGUUGAGGGACUUCUCCUAGGCAGAGGAUGUCUAUAGUAAAACAUUUUGGAAUGUUAGAUGUUUUCAACAUAUUUUGGGGUAGGAAAAUCCAAAAUCUAUCUUAAACAAUGAAUUUAUAUUUUUCGGGGAGAUGGGGUACCUCACUGGUUUGUUGUGUGCGGUGCGGUGUAUCUGAAGUUCGGGGGAGGUGAGAAGGGGAGAGAGAGUGGUAACAAUGGUGGAAGGUUAGAAACAAGAGAGGUGUCCUUCAAAAUGAGCUUCACGCCUGCAAAACAGUGAAAUAGAGGUUAGAGGUGAAGCCGGGGUACCCCGGCGUUCACACUCCGACGCUCAAGUUAGCAAACUCAAGCUUUUAUGGCAAAGAGAGCUAGCUAGCCCUCUGUAAAUUAGGGUUUAAGGUUGAAGAAAACCUUUUUUUUGGAGUGUGAGUGUUUUGGGGCGAAUGAGAGCAUGAUGGAGAAUGAAACCUAGGCGCCUUUAUAUAUGGAGUACCUUAGCUGCCACGUGGCGUACCCUUUUUGGCUAACGUCCUUUUACCGCUUUUAUGAUUCUUGGGGCCGUUAUGUGCAUGUUCGCGGCGUAUCUCAUCUUUUGGAAACGUGGCGCGCGCUGGAGAGUGGUCCGGGGUACCUCUGCAGUAGCUGUUGGGUAGGCGGCUAGGGACCACUGUCCUUGGGACAGUGUCCUUCACUUUUGGCAGAGGUAGCAGGCGACUGUCCCCCCUUUUGAUACGACGUUAUUGAUUCAUAAUUCUGACAAAAUCAAAUAAUAUCUUUUAGGAGGCGGAGACGUUUCUCAUGGCGGAUAUUUUCGGAGGUACCUCGAGUUACGUGGGGUACCUCUAAUUGUACGGGGUACCUCUAGUUACGUGGGGUACCCCCUAUUACGCGGGGUACCCCUAUUUGUAUGAGGUACCUCAUAUUAUAUGGGGUACCUCUAUUUGUGUGGGAUACCCCUAAUUGUACAGGGUACCUCUAUUUACACGGUGUUCCUCAAGUCAUGCCGGGCACCUCGGAUUGUGCAGGGUACCCUCCGAUUGUGCUGAAAUCAUUCCAUUGGUUGACACGUGGCGCUCUAUUGCCUUUCCUAUUUUUCCCUCAAACAACAUCCCCUAGUUUCUUUUUGGCGAGAAGUAUUGGAGGCAAAAGAAACUCAUUGUAUGAGUGAUACGUGCCGACGCGGUUGGACCGGAGGGUACCUUGCUUAGCUUCUUUCCUUGACUAAACUUUGUGUACUUCGAACUAAAAAUCUUCUCUUUGUCUUUUCGUUUUCCCGCUUUUUUUUUUUUUUUUUUUUGACGAUGAGAACGAACAGUUGUCUUCAUAUGCCUCUCUCCUUUUUCUUGGGAAGUGGCAGCCGUCUGACACGCAGUUUGAAUUUUGAAAAUACAAAUCUCACUCAAACAUCCCUGAACUCCUUUCUUGGGCAACGUGUUCUGUCAGGUUGAAUUUAAAACUCCUGACGUGUGUCAAAAUUUUGACAAUCCCCAAACGAACUCCAAAAAAUUGAUUAUUUCCAGUAGCCUUUUUCUUCCAUAAUUUCGUCUCCUCUUCGAAAUGCAUCAACAUCAUCACGUUAAAAAUAAGAAUUUCUUUACUUUUUUUUUUUUUUUUUUUUUUUACGCUCGUUCAUCUUCCCUAGGCUCUAUUCUCCCUUUACUCUUUUUCUUUUAUUUCAUUCUUCUUCCGUUUUCUUUCUUUCCCAUUUUCUUUCUCCCUUUUCUUUCUCACGUUUCUCCUUCCUUUUUCUCUCUUUUCCUUCUUCCUUUUCUUUCAUUCUUUUUUCUCUUUCUCUCUCGGCCGGCGUUGAUCUAGUACGUUUUCCGGCGUGGAUCGCGGCUGCUGCAGUGGCGGUUUUGGGCUCCAGAUCUGGUCGGUUCAAGGCGAUUUUCGGCGGCUCACGGCGAGAUCUCAGUCCGGCGAUACACACGGUAACCCCUCCUUCAUCGUUUCUUCAUUUUUCCCUUGGUGCUUUCUCUCUUCCUUCCCUUGUCUUCUCUCUUUUUCUUCUCUUUUUUUUCUUUUCUCUUUUUCGUUUCGGCUUGUGUUUUUCUCUGUGAUUUCCGGCGUCGGUUUGGUGUGGUUGCGGCCGGCGUCGGUUCGGUGGCUGCAGCCGCGGCAGCCGGCUUCGGUUUGGUGGUUUCCGGCGUUAGUUUAGCGGCUGCUGCUUCUCGGUUUUUCUCUUUUUUUUUUUUUUUCGGCCGACGUCCUCCUUUGCAUUUUUCCGGCGUCGGUUCUUCUUGAUGGCGGCAGCUGCGGCGAUCGGCGUCAGUUCGGUGGCUGCGGCGGUCGGCGUCGGUUCUUUUUUUUUUUUUUUUCGGCCGACGUCCUCCUUUGCAUUUUUCCGGCGUCGCUUCUUCUUGAUGGCGGCAGCUGCGGCGAUUGGCGUCGGUUCGGUGGCUGCGGCGGUCGGCGUCGGUUCUUUUUUUUUUUUUUUUUUUCGGCCGACGUCCUCCUUUGCAUUUUUCCGGCGUCGCUUCUUCUUGGUGGCGGCAGCUGCGGCGAUCGGCGUCGGUUCGGUGGCUGCGGCGGUCGGCGUCGGUUCUCGGUGGUUGCAGCCAUUACAGCCGACGCCGGUUACUGCAACUUCUUCGUUCUUCAUUUUAUUUAUUUACUUAUUUAUAAAUAAGUACAUAUAUUUAAGCUUUAUUCUUUAUUUUUAUACUUGCAUAUUUUACCCACUGUUUUUAGUUGCCUGCAGCUUCGUCUCCCCGCGAUUGUCAAUCCUGAUCUGUCGAAUUGGUGAAUCAUAGGUAUCCCUUCUUGUUUCUCCUCUUUUGGCGCAUUCACAGUGGCGCUAUUUUGCUUACUCUAAGAAAAAUUUAUUUUUAUUUUUGUUGUUUUUGUUUUUUUUGUUGGUUGGUGUUUGCAUUUGGUGGUUGAUGUGUGAUGGAUGGUGCUUGGUAUGGAUAUGUUGUUGUUGGGAAAACAUGUGGCUUGUUGGAUGUGUUGUUGGGGGCUUGUGGAUGUGUUGUUGGAUGUAUCGUUGGGUGUAUUGUUGGGGGAAAGUAGAUGGGUAAGAAACACACGGGACCCGUGAUGAAGCGACGUAAAGUUGGGGCUAGUAGGGUUGACAGCCCUCCUGCGGGUUCCCCUUCCCACAUCUCCAUUAGCGAGGGGGAUUGGUCCCCUCCUAGUUCCUCCAAGAGUUGUAAUUCUCGUUCUGAGCCCCCUCCCCCUAGGAGUACUCCUCGUGUCAGCCCACGCUUUCCUAGUAAACGACCUACCCCCAAUCCUCGAAAGAAGGGUAAGUCAACCAAGCCUAAGGUUCCAGCUCGUUCCUCGGACCAGCCGCCUAAAUCUCCCCCUGCCACACCUUCAAAAUCUAGCAACCCUUUUUCCCUAGGCAUUAGGAGGGCUACUUUGGGGGACUUAGAGCAAAUUAGAGCCAAAUACAAUAUUCCUCCGUCUGUCCAGCUCAGGGUACCCCAUGUGGAUGAGAGACCCGAGUGUCCACAGUCUGAUGGGAUUGCUCUCCAUAUCGACCUCUUCGAUCUAGGACUCCGCCUGCCCCUCCAACCAUUCUUUAUGAAAAUGUUUAGUUAUUUGGGGGUAGCUCCUGGGCAGCUGUCUCUUCUAAGGUGGAGGACACUGACGGGCUUACAUGUGUUAUGGUUGGAGGUCGUGAAGCGCGACAUUUCUGUUCGAGAGUUGAGGGGCCUUUACCAAUUCAAGAAACCUAAGGGUCCCGCCAUUGCUUACUUCUCCUCCUAGGGUGAUCAUGGCCACAUCGUUGAGGGGAACCCCGCCUUGAAGAAGGGUUACCGAAAGGGAUGGUUUGUCGCUGAGGGUAGGUGGGGGGCAGAGACUCUAGGUGAGAAGGGCGACCCCGUGGAGGUUCCCCAUUCCUUCAAUGUAGACUGUAAGUAUCUCCCUUACUUAUGGUUCUUUAUCGGAAUCUUUCGCCUGAAUGUCUCGCUAACCUUGAGUUCUUUAUGCUUUCGCAAGUGUGACAUGGGCUAAAGGAUCAUGCCCAGUUCAGGAGGUGGGGAGAGAGGUGAAGAAGUUUGUGGACAGGCUUCGAGGUGCACAAAGGGGUAGUGAUGUGCUAGAUGAGAGCCGAUUGUGGAGAGCGGGGCUGAUUGACCGAAGUCCUCCGCCUGCUCCUGGGGGUGACUCAUGUAUGAUUUGGGUGUCGGGGGGGGUAUCCUAUUAUUACUUAUGGGACUGGGGUACCCCAUUAUCAUUGCAUUCUUCGUUUCGCGUCCCCGCUUUCCAUUUCCUAUUUUUUACUUUUGCAGUACUUAGUACUUGUCCAGCUAACAUAACUUUUGUGCAUUGGGUGCAGUCAUGGAAUCGACGGGUGACGCUUUCGACGCCUUUUUCCAGGCAGUAGUGGGCGGUGCUUCCGGAUCUCAGGAUUCGGCGGUACCCCCGAAAGGCUCCCAACCUCCUCGAGCUCCCGGUCCGAAGGGGAAGUCUCAGGGUACCUCCCACAGCGGGUCGAAGGGUACCCCUCGCUCGAAGAAGAGAAAAUUCGGGCUGGUUUCCGCUUUCCCCGAGGAGUUGCGCGAAGGUGACCUAGACCCGACUUCCAACAAGGAGGUUUCGCACUUGGCUCGCUGUUUCUACUACUCCGCUGAAAAUGUUACCUCCGAGGUUGCUGAGGAGACUGACAAGAUGAGUUUGAGCCAACGCUAUAGUCAAGCACUUAGGGCUACCCAAGAGGUAGGCUUUCCCGGGAUACCCCGGGUGUACCCUUCAAAAAAUUUUUUUUUUUUUACUUGAUCCUAUUGCCACACGUAUAUAUUUAACGUGUCUUUUAUGACCCGCAGGCAUCUUUUCUCCUCAGCCACUGCCUUCCAGACCUUGACUCUCUCGUUGCCGCCCAGUCAGAGGUCGACAAGUUAAGGGGUGAGCUCCAAAGCCGUCAGUCUCGCGAGGAUCAGCUUGCUCCAGAAGUUAAAACUCUGCAAGAACGCAUUGCUGGCCUGUCGGGAGAGAAAGCUAAGGUGGAGAAGGACUGUGAGGAGUUGAGGGCCACCAACGGGGAUCUGCUAUCUCGGCAAAAGACGAUGGCGGAGGAUGCAUUCUCACUCAUCAUGACGGAGGUGUGGAGUGUGGAUCCGGAGUUGGAGGUACCCCGGGUGCAGAAAUUUGUCAACAAGGCUACGAUUCUAAAGACAAUUGCAGAGAGGAAGAAGCCUUCCCAGGCACGGUCGGGUACCCCCUCCGAGUCGCCUCGGGUACCCCAUCAGCUUUAGCCGUUGCCUGCUUCGGAUGCCCCUAGUUCGGCUGCUCAUAUUCCGGGUACAUCGGAGUCCUCUGCUGAUCGCCCUCUGGAGACGGAUGUUGGGGAUGGCGUUCCCCCUUCAGUGUAGCCUUCUCACUGUGCUCUUGUUUUUUUUUUUUUUUUUCGGACCUAUCCACAUUUUGCUAUUUGGACCUUGUUUCUUUCUUUUUGGUUUCUCGAGAUAUUUUGUAUUAUUGGGACUUCUCUUUUGUUAUGAUACCAUGCCAUCGAGUUCUCUUGUACUUUGCAUGCUUGUUAUUCUGCAAAUGAAUGCUUGACUAAACUGUUACCUUGUAAAUGUCUAGGGUACCUCUUUUUUUUUUUUUUUUGAAAUGGGGUACCCCUGGUACCUUAACAAAUAUCCAACAUCAGGCGGAUUCCCUACAAAUGUGGUGCAUGUCCUUCUCGGAAACUAUGGCGGAUUCCCCACAAAUAGGUAAUCAAAAUAUCAUCGCGACAUCUCGAUCAAACGUUGAAAGCGCAAUUGGUCCAACCAAUCACUUUCUUAUUCUUUCGAAGUUUUCUCCGAAUUUUUUGAAUAGCUUACCCCAUACUUUGCAAAAGUACGAGGACGGAGGUGUAGGUGUUCUCAUACCUAAGCCGAACUUCGUGCCGCUAGGGUAUGCCGGUUUUUCUUCACCCUCGGGUCCUCUCUGACCCUCCCUCUCUUUGUUUAGGUAGCUUUAUCAUGCUUCCGCAGAAAGGCUACCCCCGGGCUGUUCCCUCCGUUGCCCAUCUUGGGUUUACAUAUAUCGUCACGAUCUAGGCAUAUCAGGUACCCUGGCUGGUCCUGCGAUAGGUUAGUCAUAAUUGACAAACGUAUGGCGAGAAUUGCAUAUUACCAGAUGCGAGGGUAUAUUAAUGGCGAUAAAUGAAUAUAAUCCGCACUCUAAGAUCGAAGUGGAGAAAAAUAAAUAAAGAACCCACAUCAUAUUUGUUGAGAAAGAACAUGCAUUUAUGGAUAACGAAAGCGUUGAUCAAUACAUGACUUAGCUUUGUUACCCUGAGGAGAAUGGGAGACCGCAAGACCUCCUAUCCCUUUCAUUUGACAAUUAAAGAAACUCUAAAGUUGCAACUGACCAACAUAGGGCAUUUGGGGUACCCUAUUUGGCCUACCACACAAAAACAUUAAAGAAAGCAAAUAACAGCAAAAGACUAAAGGUUGAGACACUGUCCUUUAGUAAUAUUUCCGUAGCAUUACAGCGUUCCAAGGGUGCCUCACAAUUGUGCCAUCCAUGUGGAGUAGCCUGUAUGCACCUGUCCUAACGGGUUUGUCAAUGCGGUAAGGUCCUUCCCAAUUUGCCCCAAAAGUGCCUUCACAGGGUACCCUAGUGUUCUGAGUUACCCUUCUCAAGACCAAGUCUCCUUUCUUGAAUGACCGAGGGCGUACCCUUUUUUCGUAUAGACCCGAAAUGCGAUGCUGAUAUAUGGCUGUCCUCAGUUCUGCUCUAGCUCUUUUUUCAGCCACUAAAUCAAGGUUUGAAGCAACCAAUGAGGUGUUCUCGGCCUCAUCAAAGUAUUCAACCCUGUAAGAGGGUACCCCAAUUUCUGCUGGAAUCACUGCGUCAACACCGAAUGCGAGGGAAAACGGGGUCUCCCUGGUGGAGGUGUUUUGAGUAGUUCGGUACGCCCACAGUACCCCAGGUAGCUCGUCUACCCAUGCUCCCUUUCUUUUUUCUAGCUUCUUCUUCAGGAUACCUUUGAUAAUCUUGUUAACGGUUUCGACUUGCCCAUUAGAUUGGGGUGAGCAGGUGUAGCAAAUCGGUUGGUUAUCCCCAACUCCGAACAAAAGCUUCGAAAUUUUUCAUUAUCGAAUUGCUUACCAUUAUCACUGACAAUUGCAUAGGGGAUUCCAAAUCUGCAAAUGAGGUUCUUCCAAAUGAAUUCGGUGGUUUUCCUUUCUGUGAUGCUUGUUAGUGGCUCUGCUUCCGCCCAUUUUGUAAAAUAAUCUACCGCCACGAUUGCAUGUUUUGCUUGCCCCUUUCCAGUAGGUAACGGUCCAAUGAGAUCCACUCCCCAUAUAGCGAAGGGCCAAGGGGAAGAUAUAACUGUUAGCUUCUCUGGAGGUAGGUGGGGUACCCUGGCGAACCUUUGGCAUUUGUCACAGCUUCGUACCAUAUUCUUGGCAUCUUCCCGCAUAGUUGGCCAGUAGUACCCCUGACGGAGGGCUUUUUGCGCCAAUGAUUGUGCUCCAUAGUGAUUGCCACAAAUCCCCUCAUGUAUCUCCCUCAUGACAUACUCGGCCUCGUCGCUUCCCAAGCAUUUAAGGUAAGGAAGAGUGAAACCUCUUCUGUAUAAGGUAUCCUGGAUCAGGCAAUACCGGGCGACUUUAUAUUUUAAUCUCCUUGCUUCACUUUUAUCUGAGGGGAGGUCUCCGUCCUUGAGGUACCUUAUGAUAGGCUCCAUCCAAAGCACCUCGUUGGACAGCGAUCCUACUUCCAAUGGGGAUUUGGUUGUACCCGGAGAAGGUGACCCCGAAUGCACAUUUUUCAGGGUGAUGAAGGCCGUUUUCUCUUGAUCGGGUUCGUACAUCGGGAUUUGGUUGUACCCGGAGAAGGCGUCCAUAAAACUAAGCAUCUCAUGCCCCGCUGUUGCAUCAACCAGCUGGUCCACCCGGGGAAGCGGGAAGCUAUCCUUGGGGCAGGACUUGUUCAAAUCGGUGAAGUCCACGCACAUACGCCACUUUCCGUUUGAUUUCUUGACAAGAACAAUGUUGGAUACCCAAUCGGGGUACACUACUUCCCGGAUAAAUCUCGCUGCUAAUAGGCGGUCUACCUCUUGUUCAAUUGCAUCGUACCUCUCUUGGUUGAAGGCGCGACGCUUCUGUUUGACUGGUUUAUUAUGUGGGCUGACAUUGAGUUUGUGACAAGAGAGAGAAGGUGGGAUACCCGGCAUAUCCGAGUGGGACCAAGCGAAUACAUCGUGGUGCUCACGUAGGAAGGUGAUGAGUUUCUCUCUUUGUUCCUCCGAGAGGUUGGAGCCUACUUUCACCGUCUUUGUUGGGUCGGUGGCACAAAUCGAGACUGAAAUAAGGUCUUCAACUGGGGUACCCCUUUUUUCAUCUUUCAAUAUUCGGGGAUCCAAAGGUGCCUCAACUUCACAUCUGGGCUCCUCCUGGUCCCUGUGGGGUACCCUCGAGCUAUCCGCCGCAACUGCUUCUACACUCAUUGGUGAGGAUUCCAACUGCUCUCGUGGGUGGGCUACCUGAGGAGAUUUUUUUAGCACUGCUCUCCGCUGUCUAGCAAGUGCUCGCUUUGAGGGGAAAGGUGUGGGCUGGCUGCCACUGGGGUAUCCCUUCAUUGGCGGAUUGGAAGCUAUUUGGUAAGUGACUUUGGAGGUCACGGAAUAACAUCCACGAGCCGAUUGCUGGUCCCCUUUAAUAGUGAUAACUUCUUGGGCGGCUGGGACUUUCAUGGCGAGGUAGUGCAUGGAUACCACCGCUUUAGUUGCUACUAAAAACGGCCUACCCAAUAUAAUAUUGUAGGCACCCGGGUGAUCUACAAUAAGAAAAUCAAUCAUAUGAACGACAUGGUGAGGUACCUUACCAAGUGUAACAGGCAGCGUAAUGAUGCCUUUUGGUAUAACCAUAUCUCCGGCGAACCCAAUGAGAGGCGUAGCAUAGGGGGUGAUCUUUGGCGACUCAAUCAAUAGUUGAUCCAAGGCGCUUUUGAAAAUGAUGUCAACGGAGCUGCCGGUAUCUACGAGAGUUCUUGCUACCUUACCAGUGGCAACCUUCAACGUAAUUACAAAGGCAUCGUCGUGGGGGUACGAGAUGCCCUCCGCAUCUUUUUCUGUAAAAAGGAUAGGCGGGGGAUGGUGGGGUACCUUUGGUGUACCCCAUUGAUUAAGGUUGACUUCUCUGCCCAUAUCGGUGGUUAUCGACAACGAUCUACCAUAGCCUUUGAUAGCCCUCCUAGAUUGGCCCGCCAAGGUCGGUCCGCCCAUGAUCAUCCGAACAUACACGCCUUUCUUAUGUCCAGGGGGUACUUCUCGUUCAGGACUGCCAUCAGCUACCCGCUUGCCCUUAUCCUGCUCCGCGGAUUUCCUCAUGCCAGCAACAAAUUCUUUGAGGUACCCGCUGAGAAUCAAAGAUUCAAUUUCCUCUCGCAAGGUGAAACACUCGGCUGUGCUGUGACCAAAGUCUUCAUGGAACUCGCAAUACUUCAGACUACGCUUCAUGUUGGGGUACUUCUUCAUUGGCUUAGGAGGACGGAGGAGGCCGCUAUCCCGAAUAUGGUAGAAGAUCUGCUCUGGGGAUUGAUUCAGUGGGUGGUAAGAUUCGUACCGAGGCCUCGGUGGUGGCUCUCGCUAAUCCGGUGGUGGCGGUCUUGGAGGUUGGGGUACCCUUAAGGUACCCUGAGGGUUGUACCCCCGUCCUCGCGGGGCAACCCGUGGAGGGCUCCGUGGUUGGGGUACCCUCGGUAUUGGGGCCUCCAUCCUUUUAGGCUUUUCCUUGUUCUUUGUAACAUCGGCCUUAUCUUCUUGGCGCUUCAAUUGACAUUUUUCGUCCAUCUCCACCUGCUGCAACGCCCGGGAACGGGCUUCCCCAUAUGAAAGUGGGCGCUUCUUUUGAAAAGAACGCCAUAAUUUGCCCAGCCUCAAAUUUUUCUCAAAAUGGGUCAAUGUGUAUUGGUUUCCAAAUGCUCCGGUUUGCAGCACCUCUUGGUGGAAACGACUCACAUACUCCGCCAAAGGCUCGGCUUCCCCUUGCUUGAUAAAGGCAAGUUUGAAGGCUACCCUAUCUUGGGUGGAUGCAUAGGAAAACUCUUUAGUAAAUUCAGAUAGCAAUUGGUGUAAGGAAGAUAUGCUACCCGCUUUCAAAGAGCGAAACCAUGACUUCGCGGGGCCCGUGAGUGUGUGUGUAAACAUCCUACACAUGGCGCUCUCAUCUACACCCUUGAUAAGCAUUUGGUCGCGGUAUAACUCAGCAUGCUCUGAGGGAUCAGUGGUACCAGAGUAUUGGGGUAUCUGAGGCAUGGCGAACGCCUCGGGGAGAGCUGCCGUCCUAAUCUCCAUAGUGAAUGGUGACUGGUAGGUCAGUGGCGUUGGUGCAGCUGUGAUGUUUUGCUUCUCGGAGAGGAGCUUCACUUGGGCUUCCAGGUUCUCCAUCUUUUCUACAAGUUCGAGGGGUACCCUCGGUGUACCCGAUGAUGUCGCCGCCAUUUGAGAAGCCCUUUUGGCGUUUAGCUUCUCACGGAGAUCCUCGUGGGUACGCUUUGCACGCCUCGUACCCUGGCUGCUGCGGGAAUUGCAAGAGGCGGUGGAACGCUCGUCGCGAGAGCCCACGGUUUGAAACUUAGAACGGGUACCCGAUGGCCUAGGCUUUGGCUUGCUGGCCUCGGGUACCCCUCUUCUGACCAUAGCUUGGUCGUCCGUUUGAGGUGGUGGAGCUUCUAGCGUCACUGGUGGAAGCCAACUUUCGGGUGCUCGAGAUCCGACCGCCCUAAGUAUUGCGUGGGCAAGAUCCUCAAAACGCUUGUGCGAAAUAGGUUCCUCUUCUUGGCGAACACCCGUCGAUUGCUUGAUACCUUUGCCCUUGCUGACGCGGGCUACCCUUCUUGUGGGAUCACUACCUUCACUGCUGCUGUCAUCUCUCAUCCUUGUAGGAUCCCCCAUUAAACCUUCGGGAGGUACGUCGGGUGCCAUGUAUUGGAGUACACACAACAACUAGUUUGGUAACCGCGAAGGAGGCUUUUUGUGCGAAUCCCCACAGACGGCGCCAAUUGUUUUCAACAGAUUUUGGGGUAGGAAAAUCCAAAAUCUAUCUUAAACAAUGAAUUUAUAUUUUUCGGGGAGAUGGGGUACCUCACUGGUUUGUUGUGUGCGGUGCGGUGUAUCUGAAGUUCGGGGGAGGUGAGAAGGGGAGAGAGAGUGGUAACAAUGGUGGAAGGUCAGAAACAAGAGAGGUGUCCUUCAAAAUGAGCUUCACGCCUGCAAAACAGUGAAAUAGAGGUUAGAGGUGAAGCCGGGGUACCCCGGCGUUCACACUCCGACGCUCAAGUUAGCAAACUCAAGCUUUUAUGGCAAAGAGAGCUAGCUAGCCCUCUGUAAAUUAGGGUUUAAGGUUGAAGAAAACCUUUUUUUUGGAGUGUGAGUGUUUUUGGGCGAAUGAGAGCAUGAUGGAGAAUGAAACCUAGGCGCCUUUAUAUAUGGAGUACCUUAGCUGCCACGUGGCGUACCCUUUUUGGCUAACGUCCUUUUACCGCUUUUAUGAUUCUUGGGGCCGUUAUGUGCAUGUUCGCGGCGUAUCUCAUCUUUUGGAAACGUGGCGCGCGCUGGAGAGUGGUCCGGGGUACCUCUGCAGUAGCUGUUGGGUAGGCGGCUAGGGACCACUGUCCUUGGGACAGUGUCCUUCACUUUUGGCAGAGGUAGCAGGCGGCUGUCCCCCCCUUUUGAUACGACGUUAUUGAUUCAUAAUUCUGACAAAAUCAAAUAAUAUCUUUAAGGAGGCGGAGACGUUUCUCAUGGCGGAUAUUUUCGGAGGUACCUCGAGUUACGUGGGGUACCUCUAAUUGUACGGGGUACCUCUAGUUACGUGGGGUACCCCCUAUUACGCGGGGUACCCCUAUUUGUAUGGGGUACCUCAUAUUAUAUGGGGUACCUCUAUUUGUGUGGGAUACCCCUAAUUGUGCAGGGUACCUCUAUUUACACGGUGUUCCUCAAGUCAUGCCGGGCACCUCGGAUUGUGCAGGGUACCCUCCGAUUGUGCUGAAAUCAUUCCAGUAAUAGUUUUGAGAUAAUGAAACAAUUUUUUUCCAUUUUUUUUUUAUCUCUAUCCGACUUAAGGGGUAUUAUCAUGUAUAUAAAUUGAAUCCGACAUGUUAAAUUUUUCUGUCAAUCAACGAAGUCAUUGCAUAGAUAAUUCCCCAGAUUUUCAAUGCAAAGAAAGCCUUGCUCAUGUUUGAAGAGGUUAAUGAGCAUAAUAUGAGGGACAAAAUUGAAAUCUAUGAAGAAUUACAGAACUAUAGAGUAAAACUAAACAAGAAUUAUUAUUGUAUUGCUGGAAAUGAGAAUGAACGUGUAAUAAAGAAGCAAGUAAUGCAAAUAUGACGAAAGUAAAACUGCCUGAUUAGUAAACACCAAACAUUUAGCCAAUGACGAAUAAGUUUUGGUACACAAGUCAAUUCGAAAAAGAUUACAGUGUAUUCAGUUGUUAGUAAUAGAAUUUUCAUUUUUCCUCAAUCUUCUCCAUGCAAUCUAUACACAGGUAACUUCAGUGUAAUUAGAAGAUCGAAAUGAACUAGUAGAAUAUUUAAGAAACAAAAUUCUUAAACAAGUCCUACUGGGUUCGGUUAGAAUGAACUAUAACUAUGGUUCUAGAUAAAUAUCAGAGGUUUAUAAGAUAAAAUAGUAUGCAAGUCACUGUAGAGUAUCUUGAGAGAAAGUUUUAACCAUGCUUGUAGGCAUCGAAUAAUAAUGGUAGAAAACAUUUUAAGGCCCAAUGAACAUGCAUAAAAAAUGGUAAUAAAUGCAUGGUAGGCUUACGGACAUGUCUAGAAUCAUCCGGUGCAAUGCUUUCAACCAACUUUGGCCCGGAUGAAAGAAACCCACGUCCUAGAGGACUGUAAGCAACAAUUCCAAUGCCAAGUUCCCUGAGCAGAGCAACCACCAAAAUUGCGUUAGCAUGCAAAUGUUAAAUCAUCUACUCAUAAUUUUUUUUCCUUUCAACUAGGUCAAAACAAUUCAUUUGGCCCAAAUAAUGUCUUACCUGCAAGUAGGAACAAUCUCUUCCUCCACAUCUCGUGACCACAAGGACCAUUCCAACUGCACAGCUGUUAUUGGAUGGACGGCGUGAGCUCGUCUAAUUGUUGAAGCAGAAGCCUCCGAUAGACCUAUAUACUUUAUUUUACCCUCUUCAACUAGUUUCUUGAGUUCCCCAAUCUUACAAAACAACACAAGUAAAAGAAUUAGUACAUGAUAACAGAAACCUCACCCACCGAAGUGACCCAUGUCUGUAUUUUUAAAUAUUCUGUGUUUCAUAUUCAUUGGCAGCCGAGCUACCCAGAGGCUAACAGACUAAUAUAGUUUAACAUGCAUGAUUGAGACAAAUAUAUAAAUUAAAAACGACAAACCGUGACUUCAAUGGGAACUUUAGUGUCAAUGCGAUGUUGGUAAUAAAGAUCAAUACAGUCAACAUCCAGACGCUUCAAGCUGGCCUCACAUGCAGCUCUUACAUAAGCAGGAUCCCCACAGUAUGAGUACUGGCCAUCCUCAUAUCUGAUACCAAAUUUAGUAGCCAAUUCAACUCUUCCUCUGUACCCUCCUUUCAGAGCCUAAUCCCAAAACCAAAUUAAUCAAAGCCAAUAUAUUAUUAUUUGCCAAUUCCAAAUAUACCCUUUUGAAAUUAAAGGAAGGAAAUAGAAGAUAAAUUAUAUUACCUUGCCCAGAAGGAUUUCAUUUGUGUGAGGUCCGUAAGAAUCGGAAGUGUCAAGUAAAGUGAUGCCACUGUCAAUGGCAUGGUGGAUCAAGGCUAUCAUAUCGGAUUCGGGCUUCGGGGGCCCGUAGAAGGCGGACAUGCCCACGCAUCCUAAGCCUUGCGCUGAAACCUCUAGACCUUGUGAACCCAGCUUGAUUCUCUUCACUGCCCCCGCCAUUUCUCUUCUAUUAGCCUCUCAACUUUCUGUUGAGUGAGGUUGCUGUUUCUAAGCGAACAAUCUAUAUAUGUAGAUAUAUUGCUCUGCGGGCCUCUCAAAACUCGUAAUGCUAACGUAAUGGAAUAUGUUAGCAUUUACCUCAUUAACUUUACAAAUCACACAAGAGAGUAGUUAGAUCAAUAAUCGAUACGUCAUAAUGUUAUUUAUUAAUUAUAGGAAAAAUGAUAAACACAACUCCAACAUUUAGAUAAAGGGACAAAAAAAAGUAAUUUUUUUUUUUUUUUUUGUGAAGCUUAAGGCCCUAUUUGGUAUUGUUUUCCAAAUGUUGUUUUCUUGAAAUAAAAAUAACAAUGAAAAUGUUAUUUUUAAAUUUUAAAAUAUAUUCAGUAUCAUUUUUGAAUACUUAUCUAGUAUUUUCUGAAUUUAGAAAAUAAAAAAUUAGAUUUGAAAACAAUAUUGUACGCACCCUAAUAUUUUAAUUAUCUCUUUUGAACUAUCUGGCUCUAUAGCAAUUUGUAAGGGAAAUAUUGUCUUUUGAUCAGUCUAUUAUCUUAGAACUAGGGUCUAAGGUCAUAUUUGGUAUUGAAGUAUGUACCUUUUGAGUUACAAUUGUUAUGAAAAAAAUACUGUAACUAUAAAGUAAAAGUUAAUAGUAUGUAAUAAAUAUAAUUUUUAAAUAAUAAUUUUUUAAAAAUGAGUAAAGAUAUAAUAAAUUUUUCAUCAUACAAGUAGAAAAUCAAAUCAAUUUAGUUUUCAAGCUAUACCAACUAGUGUUUAUCAAAUACUUUAAUGCUAUUUUUUUUAUCAAAUACUUUAGUGCUAUUCUUUUUACACUACAACCGUUCAACCUCAAUCCUAAAUAGGACAUAAGUAUGGAAAUUACUCGAUGAAUCAUCUUUUAAGUAUUUGAGUGAGAUAUUGUAGUGAUUUUUUUUUCUAAAUACUUGAAAAUUAAUCUAAUCUGCAAUGAGAUUCUUGCAGACUUCUUGUCGUAACUAUAUUGUCAAUAAUGAUAGUCACAUGCUUACAAUUUUUUUUAUGUGUUUUUUAAAGAAUGGGUAAAAUCCAAAUCAAUUUUUUUCUUAUAAUCUUUGUAAGAUUGGAACUCCAAUAGUCAAUCAAAUGAAACUAAUUAAAAAUUGGUUAAAUCCUUAGGUGGUCAAUCAAGUGCUUACAUGUAAUAACUAAAAUUAUAGAGAACUUAUAAUUACUUUUGUAAGCAACCCAAAGUAUAUUAAGACUAACUUGAAAUUCUAUCACGUCUUAGUAAAUACUCAAAAAAUUUACUUCAUACUGUUGAGAAAAUGAGUAAAAAAAAGCCAUGGAAUUCAAAUAGUGUCCUCAAUAUUAUUGUGAAUACCUGUCAGCAUUGAUUAAUUAGUCCAAUGGCUAUUUUUUUUUUUAGAAGAUAAGCAUGUAUUUGAUAUUAUUUAUGUUUUGCUAUUUUUCAUUUUCCAAGAAAAAAAAAAGUGUAAAAUUUGUUUGGUACACUUAUUUUAUGGUAUUUAAUUUCAAGUAAGAAUGUUUAAUCUCAUUCUCUAACUUUAGAGAAGAAAAUUGGACAACAAGGCAUUCAUGAUUUUCAAUUUUCAUUUUUUAAAUGGGUACUACAAGUACCACUUGAACAACAACAAAAUAAAAAUCAUGUCUGUCAUUAUGUGGGCCCAUUACCAAUAUUUAUUUUAUAAUCCAAUUCUAAUUAUCUUUAAUACUUUUUAAUUAUUUUUUAUUCAACAAUACUAAUUGUAUUAUUUGGUAAUUUUUAAAAGGUUCUCUAUUAGUAAAAUUUAUUUAUUAUUUAUUAUUUAUUCUAAUAUUAAUGAUACUCCCUAAAAAAUCAUUUUAUCUAAUUUUUUAUAAUUAAAAAUUUUAAAUAAUAAAAAGUAAUUGAAAUUUCAAAUAAUAAAAAAUUAAUUGAAAUAUAUUAUGAUUAAAAAUAAUUUUAGUUCAUCUAAAUAUUAUAUCAUAGUAUGUAUUUUUUUCUCACUCUCUUUUACCGUCUUCACUUUUUAAACAACUCAAACAUUUUGAAAUUUUCAUUUUAUAAGUAUAUUUUAGAAAGAAGGCUCAUUCUAUUAUGCCUUGAUUAACGUAACGGUAUCAAUACUGUAAUUAAACAUAAUUUAUGUAAAUAAAAUAUAAAACUUGUAAAUCAAUAUUAAUUGUAAAAUACAUAAAUUUUAGAAAUUAAACAUAAAACUUGUAAAUUGAAGGUAAAAUGAGUAAAUUAAUAUAAAACUCGUAAAUUGAUAUAUUAUUAGUAAAUAAAACAAAAACUUGUAAUAUAACAUAAAACUUGUAAAUUAACAUUAAGUGCAAAAUAAAGCACAAAUGUAAAUGGAGGAUAAAACAAGUAAAUUAAUAUAAAACUAGUAAAUUAAUGUAUUACUAGUAAACAAAACAAAAACUUGUAAAUAUAACUUAAAGCUAGUAAAUCAACAUUAACAAUAAAAUAAAGGGUCACCCUAUGUUAUGUUGAGUGUAACAUACACACACUCACAGCAACAGUAACAAGUCUCAUCAUUAACAUUGUUGCUGUGAGUGUGUGUAUGUUACACUCAACAUAACAUAGCAGUGGCCUAAAAUAAAACAAAAAUUUUAGAAAUGAAGUAUAAGACUUGUAAAAGGAAAGUAAAAACAAGUAAAUUACUAUAAAAUUAGUAAAUUUAUGUAUCAUUAGUAAGUAAAACGAAAACAUACAAAUAUAAUAUAAACCAAGUAAAUCAAUAUUAAGUGCAAAAUAAAACAUAAAAUUUGUAAACCAUGCUCAAAACUUAUGAAUAAAAGGUAAAAUAAGUAAAUUAAUCUAAGAGUUACUAACAAAAAAGCUCUUAUAAACUAAAAACUCAUUAUAAUAUUUAUUACCUUAUAUAUUUAAUGAUUUUUUUAAAUUAAAUUGCAUAAUGCUAGUUUUGCAUUUAUGUAGUACAUGUGAUGUUUUAUUAAGGAUGAAAUUUAUUCGCAGAAUUGGAUUUUGAAAAAAAAAACUAUUUUAAUAUCUUUCAUAGUUGUUGUAACAUGAGGUUAUUUUGCAUCCUUCUACACUUCUGCAACAACAACCCUAAAUGGUCUCUUAAGUACAAGUAAAAAGUUUGAAACUACAUGAAGCAUACAUAGAACUCAAAAUUAGAUAUAAUUUUAUUGAUAUAUCAUAUAUGUGUCUAGUAAUAUGAGAAUAAUUAUUUAUUUAUUUAUUCAUUUGCUUGAUCCACGUCUAGAUAAAUAAUUGCACUUAAUUAACUUGUGUAAUAAACAGAUAUCAUUAUAGAAAAUGGGAAAAAUUAUACAAAUGUCAUUAAAUAAAUAUAGAAUUUAUGGUUAAACCAAUUCAAUAAAAUAUAUUUCACUUUUUUUGUACAAUUUUUGUUUAAUUAAUGAGUAAUUUUUUCUUUAUAUUUUUGUAAAUGAAUACAAUAUUUUUCACUAAAAUUGUGCAGAAGCAAUGUUAAUUUUUUAAAUAAUUAAUAAUCUUGUAUGAAGUUACUUGUUUUACUUUAUAUUUACUAAUUUUAUAUGAAACUAGUAAAUAUAAAGUAAAGCAAGGAAAUUCAUACAAGAUUAUUAAUUAUUUAAAAAAUUAUAAAAACAUUAUUUGAAUGGCAAUACCAAUUGCACCCUAGUCCGUACAAUUUUACGUCAUUCAAUGUUGAUAACGUGGCUGGCACAAAGGCCAAAUCAAAGGCUGAGCGGGCAUCACAUGGGCCUUUGCCUGGAUCCUAACCUUCGCAAGCAAAGGCCCACGAUUCUAUCACCCAUUAAUCCUUCUAGAGAAUCUGCUAUAGAUGUAAAUGGACCCUCACUAUCUUUUUCACUGUUUUGAUUUUUCAAAAUUCCUUUUUUUUUAUUAAGUUUAAUGCAUUUUAUUAUCUCCCUGAAACUAUUUGGCUAUGGUAAUUGGCAAGGGGAAAAUUAUCUUUUAAACAUUCUAUUACCUUAAGACUACGGUCAAGUAUUGGAAACAUGGUGAAUCAUUUUUUAGGGAUUUCAGUCAACUUAUAAACAUUAUAGAGAUUGAUUUUUUUUUGCGAAAUAUGCGAAAAUAAAUGCAGCGCUACGAGGUUCUUGUAAACUAUUAAAUUCAAAUCAAUAAAAGUAGCAAUAAUAGCGUAAGUCCAGAAUCUAUCAUAUAUCAAUACCACUCUCAUACAGUUGUUGUUAAAUCAGGCCUAAAAAAUAUUUUUUUUUCUUUAAUUUAAUAAAAUUAUCAAAAGUCAGAUUUUUUUUUCUUGAUUACAUAAAAAUGCAUAAAAGUAGAGAAACACCUUAAAUUUCCUACUGAAGAUUUGAAGACAACUACUUUAAUUUUUUCCACUACCAUUAUUGGGAUCUGUAGGAUAUGGUUGUAGUUUUCUCGUCUAUCAUCAAUAGUCUCCCUCGCACAUGAGGGCAUAUAGAGAACUAUAAUUCCCAUUUCCUCUUCUUUAUAUAGGCACUUAUUAAAGUCAAGAUAUAACUAGAAACUAAGCUAACAAAGGGUAUCCAUGAACUUCCUAAAUCCAACUUCAUAGUUAAGUCUCAGUCAUAUUAUGACUCCCUAAAACAACUAAGUUAACCUUAAGCUAUUCUACUAAAAGUCUGAUGUCGCACUCUAAUGAACCAUGUAACAAAUAAAAGCCUAAUUAAUUAAGACUUCUUUUAAUUAAUAUUAGACAUGAUUUUAAACCAAUAAUUACCACUUAAUUGACUCUUUAUUUGAUCAUCUUAAUUAAAUCCAGCCCAUGAUAAAUUUUCUUUCUUUGUAAUUACAUAUAUAUCCCUUAGUCACAAUUUAUUCUAACUAUCACUGUUAAUAUAUUUGUAAAUAGAUUACAAAUAAAUGUGAUUAAUUAAUAAAUAAAUUAUUGAAUAAAUUAUAACCACAGAUUUAAAUGAUCAAUAUAGGGAUGGCAAAAUGCAAGCUUAGACUAGGCUUUUUCAAGCCCGUUAGAGGGAAAGUAUAAGGGCUAAGCUUGGGCCGGGGUUGGGUUGGGUUGGGUUGGGUUGGGCUUUCACUUAUUUUUUUCAUUUUUUAAAAAAAUUGUUAAAAACUUGAAAUGAAUUAAUAGUCAAUGAGUUGUUAUAAUCGGCAACGAAAUAAAGAAAAUGAAUGUUUCAAAAUAAAAUAAUAAAUAAAGAAAACACAACAAAAAAAAGUGUAGAGAUUUAAAUUUUUUAAUACUAGAUUUUUUAAUUCAAGUAUCUUCUUAAUUAAUUAACAUUUAAAAGAGAGUUUAUUAUUAUAAUUUUAGAUUUUUUGAUUCAUUAUUGAUAUAUAAAUUAGGGACUUAAGCUUUCUUUCUUUUUUCCAUUAUUUCAUAAAAGUUUAAUUUAUUAUUCAAAUUUCUAAUUUAUUUUUUGAAAAAAAAAUAGAGGGCGUGUGCCUAGAUUUUUUUUUACUUAAGCCCUUAUCCAGACCGUUCAUAUGGAGGCAUGAGCCAAAUCUCAUAGCAAUGGGCCGGGCUCAUCCCUAUGAUCAAAUACUACAAAUAGCUUAGGUAAGCAUCAUUUGUAUAGAUUCCAUCUUGUAAGUAUAUAUAUUUCUAUAAUCCAUGAAAUUAUAUCUCCAAAUUAUUAACGUUUUGACCGUUUAUACAAAUCUUACUUUGUGACGACUCAAAAGACAUAAUACCUGAAUGUGCGCUAGACUCCUUUACCCUUUAUUAGCGUUAUAUUACCCACUCAGAAUUAAGAUCGAUCAAGCUUAUUAAAGCUUGUAUAGAUUAUGAUUAGCAACAUAUGUUAGAUUAGAUCAUAAUUCAUUACAAUCUUGUUCAUUACAUAUAUAUCUCAUAUACAUACUAAUUUUUCUACUUGAAGUCUCUACUUCAGUAAUUAAGAUAAAGUUACUUAACAAUAAAAAUACAAAAUAUACAGCCUUAUAAAAAUAAAAUGACAUUUCAUUAAUGGAUGUGAAUAAUCUUUUAUUUUUAAAGAAUUUGUGAUUUUUAUCUUCUAUCUUGACAUCAUAUGUCCAAUAUAUAAAUCAAAUACUUUAUAAAUAAGGGCUAAUAAUGUAUGCUCAAAUAAAUAAUAAAUAAAUAAAUUUUAAUAAAUUCAGAAAUUUUUAUUUUAUUGCAUGCUGUAAGAGUACAAAAUAAUAAUGUACAAAAUAAUAAUAAGUGUACUAGUAAUUAUAUUGUCAAUAAUGAUACUCAAAUACUUAUAACUUUUUUUUUGUGUUUUUUUAAAAGUAAAGGGUGGUAAUACCAAAUCAGUUUUUUCGCAUCUAACCUUUGAGGAUUCGAACUCUAAUUACCAAACAAAUAAAACUACAUGGAAAUCAGCUAAGCCUAGGGCGGCCAAUCAAAUGCUUACAUGUACUAAGCAAAACAAAAGAGAACUUAUAAUUACUUUUGUAAACAACAAAAAGUAUAUUGAGACUGUUUAAAAAUCUAUUACGCCCUAGUAAAUACUCUAGAGUCUACUCCAUAUUAUUGAGGAAAAUGAUUGAAAAGAAAAAAAAUGGAAUUCAAAUUAUUAUCCUCGGUAUUAUUGAGAACAACUGUUACCAUUGAUCUACCAGCCCAAUAGCUAUUAUUAUUAGUUUUAUAUUAUAAUUCUCUACUGAAAAAUACAAUAUUAUCUCAUUUAGUGUUGAUGUAUGUGGCACAAAAACCAAAUCAAAGGCUACGCCACCUUCACCGGGGCCCUUGCCCAGGUCCCACCCACCACAACAAAAGGCCCGCAAAAAAUUGUUUAUAUUAUAUAUUUAUUGGGUAGUGAAUGGUGAUAUUUUUUAUUUCUUAAAAUACUAAUUAGAGACCAGGUUUGCCCAUACUCGCAUGUGUAAGAGAGAAUCCAUUAUUGAGAAGAAAUUAUCAGUUGGAUUUAGGAGGAGUUAUUUAUGAACAAUAAACUUUUGGCCAAAUAAUCCAAAUAUCAAACAAAUUUGAGGGAAUGCAAAGUGUAGACGAGUAAAAAUUCAAUAAAUGACUAAAGAUUCAAGAAAACAUGAGUAUUAUAAAACUGAUUAAAUUCAUAUUGAGUUUGAAGAUGGAAUAAAACACCAGUAUAAUUGUUUUCAAAUAAUCAUAUGUCUAUAAUUGUAAUUUAUGUUAUUGAUAUUUUAGUAACAAUUAAGUUUAUUAAAAUGUGAGUUUAAUGAGUAACCUAGAGGGUUAAUUAGCCUCAACCUUUAAAAGGUGUCAAAAGGCUACUCUUUGUAUAAUAUAAUAUACUCCACUUAAACUAACCCACUUAAUACUAAAAAUUAACCUUGUAAUGUUUUCUGAAUUAUUUUAGUGUUCAAUAUCAACAAUCAUGAUGUUUUUGAAUGAAACAUACAAAAUGUUUAUAAUGUAAAAAAGAAAUUAGGGUUAUAUGAUGUAAGAAAUUGUUGAACUAAUACAUGUAUAGAUGUAAAUAGGGUAGCAAAAUGAAUUCAUGAAUUAGGUUAAAAGUCGGUAAAUUCAAUAUAAUGAAUUGGGUUAGAAGUUUGAAACUCCAAAGUUUCUAACUUCGAUGUUUAAAUUACAAAUUCAUUAACAAUAGAAUAAACUAACCAUCCUAACUCUAAAAUUUCAACCGAACCAGUGAGCUUAAAUCCACAUUCAUAUUUUGAAUUAGGGUCCAGCUACAAUAAAAAUAUUGUUUCAUACACUAUUUUUUGUCUUUUUGUGAUCCAACCAUUGGAUUCAACUCAAGAGUUGCAAAAGCUAUUCCAACGGCAUGGAUGGACUUGCUUGGUUAUUAACGAUGCAGUCCCUUCUGUUUACUAAAAAAAAUAAGGAAAGAUUAAAUUUCAAAAUUUGACACAUUAGUCCAGUAAAAUAUUUUAUUGUAAAUGAACACAUUUAUAUAUUAAAAAUAUGGAUGGAUUAUUUUAAUUUGCUAAAACACUCUCCACUUCCAUUUACUUAAAAUACCAAUUGGAUUAUAAUAAUAUUAUCUUGUUUUUUGUGUAAUACAAUAUUGGAUAAGGUUUUAUAAAAUUUUUGACAAUAUCAAAAUGAAAAAUAAAUAAAUAUUAAAUAAAUACUUGGAUAGUCAUUUAAAUUUCAUUAUGGAGUUUAUAAAUAAUAUUUUCAAAAUAAUAAAUUUCUAUAUGUAAAUUUGAAAUUAUGUAAAAUUAUUUAUUCCUUAUUACACGUAUGAAGCUGAUUAAUUAUUUAUUUAAUGUGAAAACAAAUGCAUUGUAUAAUAUUUAUUCUAUUACUUAAAUUUAAAAUUAUAAAGAAUGAAACUUAAAUUUAAAAUUGUAAAGAAUGAAUAAUAACUUAAAUUAAUAGAUUAUGGGAGGAUACCUUUCAAAAAAAUUAAAAUUAACAAACUUUUUAGGCUUCUAACGUAACAUUUUUAAUUUUUGUUGUUAACAUAAGACAAAAAUUAAGUCUAAAAACCUCAUUCUAGGGUCUCCUUAGGGUAAAAAAAAAAAUCAUUAUCACAUGAUAAUUUGGUAGCCUAAGUUGUAUUAUUUUUAGUUUACUUAUUCAUGCCAAACACCUUAUUGAGAUUAAAUUUUAGUAAAGUAAACCCAUCCCACCAUCUUUAAUCACAUUCAAUAGGCCCUAAUUGAUUAGAUCUUGUUAUAUAAAGUAAUAUAUAACUCUUUCUUUAUUACAAUGGUAAAGAAAAAAAAACAUAAACACAAUAUAUUUCUUUUGAGAAAAUGCAAGUAUUAUGUUUUUUAGGUUUUGUGUUUAAGAAAUUAAUCUAAUUUAUGUAGUUAGAAGACUCUUAUUUUUUAUGUUUUAGAAGAAUUAUAUGUUUGAUAAUGAAUAAAUUAAGAUUUAAAGUAGGAAAACUAAUUUGAGAAGGAGAUAGAGAGAAUAAAUUUUUUAGAAUUUGAAAAUUAUUAUAUUUUAAUUGGGGCUUAUUACAUAAAAUUAUUAAAACAUAUGGUUUUUAUUAUUUAUAGAAAACAAUAGGGAUUGCUAAAGAAAACACUAAAUAAUUAUUUUAAUUUGAAAUUAUUAUAUUUUAAUUGGGGCUUAUUGCAUAAAAUUUUUAAAAUUUAUAGUUUUUAUUAUUUACAGAAAACUAUAGGGACUGUUAAAGAAAAUACCAAAUUUGAGGGUUUGGUACAACGGUUGCAAAGUAGUUUUGUCCUGAACUAGUGAGACUUUUUUUUUGGCAUAAUUAUAUUUAUUGUAUCAUUCAAUAAAUGGAUCUUAAAAAAAUAAACAAAUCAGUGGGACAUUCAAUUUGUUCACUUAACAAAUUCAAUCAAAAUUGUCCAUUUAUUAGACGAAUUAAUUUUUCAAACCUAAAUGCUUUUAAUUCAAAUAGAAUCAAUAAAUCCUUAUCUAUAUUAUUACCCCUAGAUGUAAACCCUUUUUAUGAGAAAAAAAAGGGUGUUUAUAUGAUAGAAGAAACUAUUGAAUUGUAUUUUUAAAUAUGUUAUAUAUUAUUGAUUUAUCUGUCAUUUUACUCUAGAGUGAAAUUGUAGCAAUAAAAAAUUGAGUAAAAUCUUUAAAUUUAUAUUUUUCAUGACUCACCGUAGAUUCUGGUAUUUCAUAGAUUAAUUCUUUAUUGGCUUAAAAAAAAUCCUACCCAAACUUAAAAAAUUAAGCUAAUAUAGACAUAACAUAAAAAUAAAUAAAUAUGAUAUAUAAUACAGAAUUUUGUAAAUUAUUUUUAAUGUUAAAUACAAGUAUUUUAAUAUUAUUGAUCUGCAAAAUAGAUUUUAUUAAAUUAAAACAUAUAUGAUAGAUUAAUAAUAUUAAAUUAAUUUUUUUAUUCAAAAUAAUUUAUAAAAUAUAUAACAAUUAUAUAUUAUAUUAUUUUAAUAUUAUAUUUUGUAUCUAUCUAUCAUAGAAGUUUAUUUAAAAUCAAUUUUUGGAUUGUUAAAAUCGAUGUGUAUAAUCAUCAAAAAACAUUUGUGUGAUUAUUUAUUAAACCAAGGAGGUCUAUAGCAACAUUUAUGUUCCCAAGGGGGUAUAUAUGCUUUUUUUCCCUGAUUUUUAGAUGAAUUAAUUCUUAAAUGUAUCUAUUUAUCAUUUACUGCAAAGAAGGUGAUCAAAUUAACCAUAAAAAAUACGCAAUGAAAUGUGUGAAAUGCCUGAAAGGCAAUAGGAACUGUGAAAAAUAUUUUUACGGAUUGGACUAGGCAAUGCGGGCCAAUAAUAUCUAGUCCAAAGAUGAGGCUGGGCCAAGUUUAAGUUUCACUUGAUAAAUUUAGAUUCGUCCAAAAACCUGAAUUUUAUGAAAAAAUAUUAUAAAAUACAUUAUUUUAAAUAACUAUAUUUAUUUGACCCAUAGAUUAUACAUAUUUAAAAUUUUAAAUAUUUAAAGUUCAUAUUUGAAAACCCAAAUUCAUUAAAUAAAAUUUAAAAAUCAUAAAACUAAAAUAGGUCCCUACAGCGCAACCCGCUUAGGUCGAAAGCCAUCCCAGCCUGGGCCAUUUGGGUCUUUGCAUUAACCUCAAAAGGAUAAAAAGUGCAUGAGGUAUAGGUGGGGGUGUUCGCGGAUCGGAUUUUACGAAUUGGACAUCAAUCCAUAUCCGAUCCAUGAUUUUGCGGAUUAUAAUUUUUUAAUCCAAUCCAAUCCAUAAAUUGAUAAAAUUCAAUCAAAAUCCAAUCCAUACAUCUGCGGAUCGGAUGCGGAUUUGACUCAAUCCAUAUCCAAUCCAUACGUCUGCGGAUCGGAUGCGGAUUUGACUCAAUCCAUAUCCAAUCCAUUUUGCGCAUUAGUUUUCGAAUUAAAAUUUUUUAGUUCUCUCCAACUAAUGAAAUAAAAAAAAAUCUAAUAUAAAAAUAAUUUUGCUACCAAUUAAAUUUAAAAUUGAAUAAAAUUUAAAUAAAUUAAUUAUUUAAAUAGAGUUAAAAUAAUACAUUUAAAGUUUCAAAAUAUAACAAUCGAGACUAAUUAUUUAAAUAAAGCUACAAUAAUACGUUCAAAGUUUCAAAAUAUAACACACCAAGCUUAAUUGUUCAAAUAAAGUUACAAUAAUACGUUAAUAUAACACCGAAAUUAAUUGUUCAAAUAAAGCCACAAUUAAUUGAAAUGGCGAAGUUUUGGAAACCAAACACGGUCUGAUCCUUCACUAGGGUUGUUGCGCCUGUUGAAAAGUGGUGAUUACUGAGCCGUCCACGAUGGGAACCAGGAGAAGCCGUACGGGUGGCGAUCUUGAAGGUUGUGAUAGUGAAAUUGUUCAGCUGGAACCAGUGAAUGUGAAGUGGCUCGAUGGACUUGGGAAAGAAGAUGGCUUGCUCUCACUGGGAUCGCACGGCCGAUGUCCUUCAAAUCCGUGUCGAGAGUGUAUCCAACCAGUAUUGAGUGUUGUUAGUGUGCGUGACGACGGAGAAGCUUAGGGUUUUUUGUUUGCAAAUUGUUGGUGACUUGACAACAUGUUAUUUUACUUUUGGGUGACUUUGCAAAUUGUUGGUGACUUGACGUUAUGUUACUUUACUUUUGUUAGUGCGUGUGACUUUGCUUUUAUUUUGUUUUACAAUUUUUACACGUUAUAUUUGUAUAUUUGAUUAUUUAAUUAUUUUUUAUUUUUUAUUAUUAUUGGGUAAUGGCUAAGAUAUGUUAUAGUGCUUAUGUAACUAUGUAAUGUCACAUUUAUAAUUUUUUUAAUUAAAUUUAUAAUAAUUUUUUAAUUAUCUAUAUAUAUAUAUAUAUAUAUAUAUUAUUUUAUUUUUUUUGUGCGGAUUCACGGAUUUUUACAGAUUUACAGAAGUAAAUUCAUAUCCAAUCCAUCAAUCCACGGAUCGGAUUUAUACGAAUCGGAUUGAGUGGAUCAGACGGAUUGAGUGGAUCGGAUUGGAUUCUGAACACCUCCAGGUAUAGGUUUUAACCGAAAGAACUUCUUGCGCAAUUCAUGCGUUUCUGCUUUUAUGACCAGAAAUUGUUUCUUGAUUUGAUUUCCAUUUCAAAUUGUUCUCUGGACUUUUUAUCAAUAUGAGGUGAUUGCAAAUAAACAUAUAUAAUAUUAUAAAAUAUAAAUCUGGAUUUUUUAAGCCCAUAAAAGAAAGUCCAUUUGGGGCCGAGAUUUUAGGCUCAACCUCAGUGUUCAAAAAAACAUGCUUGGGCCAAAUUUGAGUAUUGCCAUAUCCGGGACCGACUUGAGUUUUUACCAUGACUAAGCAUAAUCAAUUGGUUCAAAUAAUUUAAUUUCCGGUAAAAUGAUGUGAAAAAUUGUGAAUCAAUUUGGUAAUCUCGUAGAGGCCACUUUGUAACACAGUAAAAGUAUUCAAUUGAUCUGAAAUCAUUGAAUAAUUUUUUGUUGAGGAAGGAUGUCACGUACAACAACAAGAAACAUAUAAUGCUACAAUAAAUUUAGAUCAGCAAUAAUGUUUAGGAUCCUAACAUUUGAGUCUCAACUUGACUCUCAAUGAUAUGUGUCACUCAUCAAUUGAAUAAUGGAUAUAAUAUCUAGUAAAAUUAUUUAACCACCAUUCAAUAGAUGAAUUCCACGUCAGUAGGAACUCAAAUUAAGACUUAUGUUGGGACAUCUAGCAUUGCUCUUCACAUCAGUGGUGAGGCUCCAAGUGGGUUGGGAAAUUUUUAGAAAAUUUACAAAAAUAUCAUAAUGCAAAGUUUAUAAAAUUGCCACUAUUUUAUUUACAGUAGUACCACUCUAUUAAUUUACAAUUUUGUCAUUCAAAUAAAUAUACAGAAAAAAGGGAGCAUUUACUUCAUUCAAGAUUCCAGAACGUGCUUUCUUUCUUGGCUUCUUCAGUUCUUCGUCUUCUUCUUGACAAGAAUAGAUAAUACAUUUAUUGUUUAUUCAAUCAUUUACAGUACACUUAUUAAUUGUUAGGUAGUAAAGACUAAAGAUUAUAUUAUUUAAUUCUUGUUCCAAUUUCAUUGUGUAAAAUUAAAUUAUUGUUGGGUCAAAUGAAGAUAAUUUAGCCAUUAAAUUCUAGCAUUCAAAAAUUUAAAUUAAUUAUUGAUAGAGAUGGAUCAUAGAUUCAAUUCAGUACAUUAUACAUAAAGUUAAUUUGUUAAUUGAAUUUAUUGUUUGGCUUCUGGAUAGUGUUAAUGUGUCGUAGUGACAGAUUGACGGUUCUAUGACUUUUAUUAGUAAAUUUGUGAUUAUUUCUUCUAACUUCUUUUAUAUUUAUACCAUGUUUUGACUGAAACACCCAAACGAGCAUAGACACGACUUCAAAAUAAGGAAGAGAAUGAAUUUUUAUCAAAUUGUAUAGUUAUCUACGUUAAAAGAGAAUUUGUAAACACCGUUAAUUUAAAUUCGAUAAUAGAUGGAUUUAAUUCUCGAAAGUAUGGUAAAUUACUUCUUAGACAUGAUAUAUUUUCUUAUGUAUAACAAAAUUUUCUUUCAAAUUUAUAUUUUUAACCAAGAUAAUAUUUGGAUUUGGAAAAAAUUUAGCCUACCCAAGAUAUUUUUUCUGGCUUCGCCCCUGAUUCAGAUCAUCUAAACUUCCAGAAAUUUCAGAUAAAUAUUACUCCAUUUUGAUUUGUUAUUGUUUCUCAUAUAUUUGCAUAAACACAUUACAUUGUUUUUGCGCUCACUGCAGAAGAUACAAUGAUUUAGUUUUACUUACAACACUGCAUAGGAACUCAAUACAAUAUUCACUAAAUGCUUGUGGAAAGUGCAGAAAGGUACUGAUAGGGUCUCGUAUGAGAACACAAUGAUUUUACCCACAACAGAACCUAGGAACUACAUGCAAUUGCAAAAUCGGUACUAAGAAGCAGAAUACCAAUGCCCUUUAUGAAGGUUUCCACGAAGACAGAGGUGGAGUUUCAGAGUCUUCGUAGGUAGGAGUGACACCCCCAUACCGAUGACCCCUUACAGCAUCUGCUGAAGCAAUAGAUUCAAGCUCAGCCAUUUCUUCUGGAGAAAGUUUCACUGACAGAGCUUUAAUAUUUUGAUUGAGGUUUUCAAUCUUGGUGGUUCCAGGAAUCGGACACACGUCAUUUCCUUGGUGAUGAACCCAUGCUAAUGCAAGCUGAGAUGGGGUGCAUCCUUUCUUUACUGCUAUUUCAUUAACACGUUCAAAUAGCUUUUUGUUAUGCUCUAAAUUUUCAGGUUGGAACCUCGGUAGAUGCUGCAAGAUUUAGAAAACAGCUCAGUACCAAAACUGAACUGCAAUUGAAUCAUUAAAAAAAAGAACAUCAUUUUGGAUAAGAGUAAUGAUACAGCCACAAACUCUUGUACAAACUUAUUUUGUACAAACUGAUGUGGCAUGAUAAGAUUGGUUGAAUUAAAUAUCACUUGGCCCACAUGAUUUAUUUUUAUUAAUUUAUAUUUUCAUUCAACCAAUCUUAUCAUGCCACGUCAGUUUGUACAAAAUAAAUUUGUACAAGAGUUUGUGGCUGUAUCAUUACUCUUUGGAUAAAGCAUGAUUUUAGAGGAGGUUUAUGUAAAAUUCAAUAGACCAGAAAACAAAGAAAAAGGACUAGUCGGGGACUUCUCCUAGGUGGAGGAUGUUUAUAGUAAAACAUUUUGGCAUGUUAGACAAAGGUCUCACAAGAAAUAAACUCUCCUUGGACUUGUCAAUUGAUUUCACAUUGACGUGCAUAGGCAAAGCAAUAUAACAAAAAUGGAAACUGCCACAAGGAUGUAGAAGUUUGGAAGAGUCAUUACAGCUAAACUUCUUGAGCAUCCAGUAAUAGUUUUGAGGUAAUGGAACAAUUUUUUUCCCUCAUUUUUUUUUUCACCUCUAUACAACUUAAGGGGUAUUAUCAUGUAUAUAAAUUGAAUCAGUCAUGUUAAAAUUUUCUGUCCAUCAAUGAAGUAAUUGCAUAGAUAAUUCCUCAUAUUUUCAAUGCAAAGAAAGCUUUUGCUCAUAUUUGAGGAGGUUAAUGAACAUAAUCUGAGGGAAACAAUUGAAAUCUAUGAAGAAUUUCAGAGCUAUAGAGUAAAACUAAACAAGAAUUAUUAUUGUAUUGCUAAAUGAGAAUGAAUGUGUAAUAAAGAAGACAAGUAAUGUAAAUAUGAUGAAAGUAAAAAUACACGAUUAGUAAACACCAAACAUUUAGCUAAUGAUGAAUAAGUUUUGGUAGACAAGUCACUUCAAAAAGGAUUACAGUGUAUUCAGUCCUUAGUAAUUGAAUUUUCAUUUUUCCUCAAUCCUCUCGAUGCAAUCCAUACACAGGCAACUUCAGUGUAAUUAGACGAUCGAAAUGAACUAGUAGAAUAUCUAAGAAAGAGAAUUCUUAAACAAGUCCUACUGGGUUAGGUUAGAAUAACUAUAACUAUGGCUCUAGAUAAAUAUCAGAGGUUUAUAAGAUAAAAUAGUAUGCAAGUCACUGUAGAGUAUCUUGAGAGAAGGUUUUAAACAUGCUUGCAGACAUCGAAUAAUAAAUGCAUGGUAGGCUUACGGACAUGUCUAGAAUCAUCCGGUGCAAUGCUUUCAACCAACUUUGGCCCGGAUGAAAGAAACCCACGUCCUAGAGGACUGUAAGCAACAAUUCCAAUGCCAAGUUCCCUGAGCAGAGCAACCACCAAAAUUGCGUUAGCAUGCAAAUGUUAAAUCAUCUACUCAUAAUUUCUUUUCCUUUCAACUAGGUCAAAACAAUUCAUUUGGCCCAAAUAAUGUCUUACCUGCAAGUAGGAACAAUCUCUUCCUCCACAUCUCGUGACCACAAGGACCAUUCCAACUGCACAGCUGUUAUUGGAUGGACGGCGUGAGCUCGUCUAAUUGUUGAAGCAGAAGCCUCGGAUAGACCUAUAUACUUUAUUUUACCCUCUUCAACUAGUUUCUUGAGUUCCCCAAUCUUACAAAACAACACAAGUAAAAGAAUUAGUACAUGAUAACAGAAACCUCACCCACCGAAGUGACCCAUGUCUGUAUUUUUAAAUAUUCUGUGUUUCAUGUUCAUUGGCAGCCGAGCUACCCAGAGACUAACAGACUAAUAUAGUUUAACAUGCAUGAUUGAGACAAAUAUAUAAAUUAAAAGCGACAAACCGUGACUUCAAUGGGGACUUUAGUGUCAAUGCGAUGUUGGUAAUAAAGAUCAAUACAGUCAACAUCCAGACGCUUCAAGCUGGCCUCACAUGCAGCUCUUACAUAAGCAGGAUCCCCACAGAAUGAGUACUGGCCAUCCUCAUAUCUGAUACCAAAUUUAGUAGCCAAUUCAACUCUUCCUCUGUACCCUCCUUUCAGAGCCUAAUCCCAAAACCAAAUUAAUCAAAGUGAAUAUAUUAUUAUUUGCCAAUUCCAAACAUACCCUUUUGAAAUUAAAGGAAGGAAAUAGAAGAUAAAUUACAUUACCUUGCCCAGAAGGAUUUCAUUUGUGUGAGGUCCGUAAGCAUCGGAAGUGUCAAGUAAAGUGAUGCCACUGUCAAUGGCAUGGUGGAUCAAGGCUAUCAUAUCGGAUUCGGGCUUCGGGGGCCCGUAGAAGGCGGACAUGCCCAUGCAUCCUAAGCCUUGCGCUGAAACCUCUAGACCUUGUGAACCCAGCUUGAUUCUCUUCACUGCCCCCGCCAUUUCUCUUCUAUUAGCCUCUCAACUUUCUGUUGAGUGAG
rnacentral:lncRNA from 1 species